rnacentral:lncRNA from 1 species
AAAACACAUCUUUUGUGUCUUUAAAAUUCUAAAACUAGUGUAUGCAUACGUACAUAAGUACAUGUGAUUCAUACAUAAGCACUCUAAAGAAAACUAGAGUUCCUUUGUUUUUUUUUUCUCCCUACACUUGUGCAGCGAAGGAGACGUGUUAAAGUCUUAAAGACACGUGCCUCCAAAAUCAAUAAUUUUAUGGGAGAAAGAAAAGAUGCAUGGAUCCAUCGGGUCAUGGAAACACACACAGCCAAGGAUCAGUGUCGGCUAUUAACCCAAAAAAAAAUUUAAGGAUCAGUGUCGGGAUGUACAUAUUGGAUGAUAAUUUGUCAGUACUGGAUGCAUUCAGCCAACAAAAUCAUGUCCACUUUGUCAAAAGCUGUCCAAGUAAUUGUCUCUCCAUUUUUAGAGCUACGCACGUUGCAAGUUCUAGUGGCCUUCAUCUCCACACACACACACGCACACACGCACACACAAAAGUGAAGGAAAAAACUAAGACAUGAUCCACCUUUUCAGAAUGGCUGUUGGUCGCAACUCGCAACCAUCUAAUUAACACCAAAAUAAUAAUGUCACUUGAAUUUGAUGGGUUUCUUGACCCUCAAGUUUCAAGAGCCCGCAUUACUUAAAUAGUAGAUGGCUUAGUACUCGAAAUGUGAAAGUGGCUUUUCAGAAACUUGCUCGGAAAUCAAUUAACUUUGUAAAAGAUGAUGUGAUAACUUGAGAUAAGAUAUCAUGUCAUGUGGGCUGUUCCAGCUUGAAGUGAAAUAAAGAAGAAAAAGAAGGAAUUUUAGGUCACAAAUGCUAUAUAUAUACCUAAAAACUGGAAAUUUUGUUUGGCCUAGCAAGCUAGAUACCUUUUUUUUUGUCAAACAGCUAGCUACCUACCUUGAGAAAGAGGUCCUUCAAAAUUAUGGCUUUAUUAAAGCAAACUUAUAAAGGUUGCUUUGGUGUUCCUGGCCAAGUUCGUGAUUUGAUUUUUUGGUGGAUAUUCAUGACAUGAGGGUUGAGGGGUCCUCAAAACUCAAAAGUCAUUGCGUUCCCUUUCCUGCUAUAGAUACAUACACGUGAGCGUUUGUGUCUUAUUACUACAAACAUUGAUACUGUUCUUAAAUUAAUUCCUUGCAUAAAUCUAGUUAGUGCCAUGUUAUUAAUGAGGAAACCACUCACAUAUAUUUUAUUUUAUUUUAUCAUGUUUCUAAUAAUAUUUUUACAUUCUUGAGCAGUAAGUUCUUUGGCAACAAUGUCAUGAAGUAAAAUUUUCCUAAUGGAAAUAAAUGCAAAUGCACAUAAAUAUAUUCAUAUUUACUAUAUUGCAAAUGCAGCCACACAACAAAUGAAUCAAAAUUUCUUUUAAUAUCGUUGUAAUUGUAGGGGGCCCUUGACAUUUUCGUCCACAUAAUUUGAAGUCUUUCUCAAGCUACCACGUAUGUCCUAAAGUAAAUAUCAAUCAAGCUCCCAUUGGCUAGAGCAAUGACAAUGGCAUUAGCAUUCUGGGACCUUGCGUAUCCAAUUAUCUGUUUGAUCAAUCAAUGACCUGUAAGGCCUUGGAGAAAAUAUUAUAGAGUACGAAACUAUUUUUUUCACACUUAUUUACUACAUUGUUGGACACUAUAUUUCCUAUUGUGAAUAAAUCUUACAUAUGUGAGAUAUGAGGUACAUAAACAUAACUUUAAUGUCACCUUAAUGAAUUUGACCCAAAAAAAAAAAGUAGUCAUCUAAUAAUGGAUGAAGCGAUAUUAUUUAUACCAUAUUUAUCGACUACAUUGUUGACAUAUCUCUCCCACUAGUGAGAUACAUUUGAUUUGUCUGUUGCCACCUCUACACCUCUAUAUGUGAGGUACAUGUGAUAAGAAAAAUGUCAAGGUUGAUAUGGAAUUAAUGGUUUGGAUGGAAAUUGCCCAUAUUUAUGUGCCCUUUGUUGCCACAUCUACACAUAGUGAAAAAUCACAGAACAAGCACCUUUUGGUUGGAAACAUCCGCAAGUGAAAACAAUGCCAGAAGCUUCAUAGAAACCUUUUAGUAAUUUAGAUUAACAUCUAAAAUACCAGAUAGAACAAAUCAAUUUAAUUGUCUGGGACCAGUUUCCAUGCCUAAUGUUUCAAACCUGUCUCUUUCACCAGUGAAGAACAAGAAUGGGAGAGAAGAAACAAACGUCUUCCUCUUAUCCUUCACACAUAUUCAUUGGCUCCAGAAGAAUCAUCACAACCAUGGCAGUUUCUCCACCUCAGAAAUUUCACAGCCAAGUGAACACAAAAACCCUUAUCUAAUUCCCCCUUAGUUUCAAUCUCCUUCCCACCCAUUGCACCAAUUUCAACUUACCCUUUUUUAUUUUCUUCUCUAUCUUCAGCAAUGGCAGCUGAAAAUUCAUCAGGCACCAGGAGAAAUUCCAACACUCAGCUCCUGGAAGAGCUGGAAGCGCUCAGCGAGUCGCUCUACCAAUCCCACACUUCGAGUACUAGCACUCGAAGAACUGCCUCCCUUAUUCUUCCUCGAAGCUCAGUUCCUGCGAUACCGUCGAAAGAUGAAAUUGUUCCGGCUAGUGCUGAGGAGAUUAGACUCAAGAACAAACCCCGAAGGCGCAUGUCUUUGUCCCCGUGGCGCUCCCGCCCGAAGCUUAUCAAUGAUGAUGAUGAGAAUGAGCAAAAAGAUCGAGGCAAGAAGGCGACGAAUAAUAAUUUGCCGGGGUUGAGAAGCUUGGAUGACAAGGCGACUGCCACCACAGAGAAAAAGGGUAUCUGGAACUGGAAGCCGAUUCGCGCUAUCUCUCACAUUGGAAUGAAUAAGGUCAGCUGCUUGUUCUCUGUUGAGGUUGUCGCUGCACAAGGCCUUCCAGCUUCAAUGAAUGGCCUCCGGCUUUCUGUCUGCGUUCGGAAGAAGGAAACAAAAGAUGGAGCUGUUCAAACAAUGCCGUCAAGAGUUACACAAGGAGCUGCUGAUUUCGAAGAGACCCUUUUCCUUCGGUGCCAUGUGUAUUGCAGUAAUGGCCAUGGGAAGCAGCAGAAGUUUGAGCCAAGACCCUUUUGGAUAUAUGUGUUUGCAGUUGAUGCUGAAGAGCUUGAUUUUGGGAGGAGUUCUGUGGAUUUGAGUCAGCUUAUUCGGGAGUCCAUUGAGAGGAACAAUGAAGGUCAACGAAUUCGACAAUGGGAUACGAGUUUUAAGCUGUUAGGGAAGGCAAAAGGAGGAGAGCUUGUUUUGAAAUUGGGGUUUCAGAUUAUGGAGAAAGAUGGAGGAAUUGGAAUUUACAGCCAGACUGAUGAUUUAAAGUCUGUUAAGUCCAAGAAUUUCUCUUCUUCUUUUGCUAGGAAGCAGUCAAAAACAUCAUUUAGUGUGUCUAGUCCAAAAUUGUCAAGCAGAGGAGAAGCUUGGACUCCUUCACAAGCAGGAAAAGCAGCUGAUCUUCAGGGGAUUGAUGAACUGGACCUUGAUGAACCAAACCCAGUUCCAAUAUCAUCUUCUUCGUCUUCUUCAGCUGUGAAGCCAAAAGAACCAGAAGUCCCAAAGACAGAGGAUCUUGAUGUGCCAGACUUUGAAGUAGUGGAUAAAGGAGUUGAAUUCCAAGACAAGGAAGCGGAAUAUAGGGAAGAGCAAUCAGAAAAGUCUGUUGGGGCAAAAUCAGCAGCAUCAAGUGAGGUUGUGAAGGAAAUUGUACAAGAUCAAGUGCAUAUAACAAGACUGACAGAGCUUGAUUCUAUUGCUCAGCAGAUUAAAGCUCUUGAGUCUUUGAUGGGAGAAGAAAAAACCAACGAUAAAGAUAACGAAAUUGAAUCACAGAGAUUGGAGGCUGAUGAGGAAAAUGUAACAAGGGAGUUUCUUCAAAUGCUUGAGGAGGAGGAGAUCAUCAUGAACGAAUAUAAACUGAGCCAAAAUGAUGUUCCUCCUUUGGAGCUUGAAGGAGCAGAGGAAUCUGCAGAAGCUGAAUCAGAGGUGUGCCUUCCUGAUCUUGGGAAGAGCCUAGGCUGUGUGGUUCAAACCAGGGAUGGAGGGUACUUGGCAGCCAUGAACCCAUUAGAUACUUUGGUAGCAAGGAAAGACACUCCAAAACUUGCCAUGCAGAUAUCAAGACCAUUUGUUCUACCAUGGGAUCAGUCCAUGAGUGGAUUUGAAUUGUUUCAGAGAAUUGCAGCUAUUGGACUUGAUGAACUGAAUUCUCAGCUUCUAAAUUUGAUGGCCUUGGAUGAACUGAUGGAUAAAACCGCAGAGCAGAUCGCUUUUGAAGGCAUUGCUUCGGCGAUCAUCCAAGGGAGAAACAAAGAAGGUGCUAGUUCAACUGCUGCCAGAACCAUUGCUGCUGUUAAAACCAUGGCAAAUGCAAUGAGCACAGGUAGGAAAGAGAGGAUUUCAACUGGGAUUUGGAAUGUGAAUGAGAACCCCUUGGCAGCAGAGGAGAUUCUGGCGUUCUCCCUGCAGAAAAUUGAGGCCAUGGCUCUUGAAGCUUUGAAAAUUCAGGCUGAAAUAGCGGAGGAAGAAGCCCCAUUCGAUGUUUCUCCAUCGAACGGUACAACAAGUGGUGCAAAAGUUCAAAAUCACCCACUUGCUUCUUCUAUAUCACUGGAGGAUUGGAUCAAAAACCACAGCUUGGCCAAUUCAGAUGGGGAUCAAGAUCAUUCAGAAACAAUCACACUGGCAGUUAUUGUUCAGCUGAGGGAUCCAGUAAGGCGGUAUGAGGCAGUUGGAGGCCCUAUGAUUGCACUGAUUUAUGCAACAAGAGCUGAUGACACCAUUAAAGUAAAUAAGUAUGAGGAGGAAAAGAAAUUCAAAGUGACAAGUUUGCAUGUGGGAAGCUUAAAGGUGAGGACAAGAGGGAAGAGGAAUGCAUGGGAUAGUGAGAAGCAGAGGCUAACUGCAAUGCAGUGGCUGGUUGCUUAUGGAUUGGCAAAAGCUGCAGGGAAGAGAGGCAAGCAUGUGACAUCCAAAGGUCAAGAUUUGUUGUGGAGCAUUUCAUCAAGAGUAAUGGCUGAUAUGUGGCUCAAGUACAUGAGAAACCCAGAUGUAAAGUUUACCAAGUGAACUACAUGUAUUGUAAUAUUUGAGUGACAUCAUUUAUUUUUGUAAUUUAUUUGCUGCAAUAACAGAUACAAGGAGUAAACAGUGUCAGCUUGUAACAGCUCCAAAUAGUAAAAUAUGUUGCACUUGUGAAUAACUUCUAAGAAAAAUAUUAGAAGUCUCGCAAAACAAAACAAGAGAAAGUAACGCAGUUACUGUUCAAAUUCAACAUAUAUUGGAACAGCGCAAUUGCAGGAUUCGAACUCACGAUCUCUUCUCUCAUUCGAAUAAUUAUUUCAUACUAUAGCAAGUCAUGUUUUUUACCACUUCCUGACAAAUUUGUCUAAAUACUUUGAGGAAAAUCCUAAGAUGAUGAUUAGAACUUGAAAGAGGAAAGUCUAAAUUGCAGGAUUGUAAGCAAUGGAAUCCAAUGUGAUCCUUGAUUUGUAGGGAAUAUUGUCAUUCACUCAUGUUAAUUUAACCACGUCCAACACGAACGACCCGUUAAUCAUAUGUUUCCUAGCUUAUGUUCAUUCUUAAGUUAGGCAACAUCUAUUAGACAUAUCAUAUAUGGUAUAGUAUAUGUCCUCAUCGUAUAUCAUACUGUAUAUUGGACCAUUUUAAACAUACUCCUUGCCAUGUUUAUGUCAAUCCGACUCAACUUAUACCUUUAAUUAUUGAUGAAGUUGGAGGGAGAUUCAUGUCUUGUCAUUUUCGUCCACCGCAUUAGAAAACUUUAGAAAACCUACAUGGUGGUCCUAACCCUAAACAAAGAUCAAUGGUCCAAUUGAUUUGAGCAAGCCAGAACUUGGGACAAAUUGAACCAACGAAGGAGACAAGUAAAGAAAUUUGGCCUAGUGGCUCUCUUGCCAGGUACAUCACAUGGAUGACGACUUGCACAUGGGAAGAAUAACUGAGACUCACGACAUUUUUAAUCCAUCAUUAAAAACAUGUUAAAGGCAUUUAUUUAUAAAAUAAAUCAAUAAAUGAAUUCUUUUGCUCUGGUGACAUACAAUUCCAUUUUCAGUUUUCUUUACUGGAGGGAACACGGUCAUAUUCAACCAUCAAAACAAGUGUUAGACAAGUUCCAGAUCCACAAGAAUGGGCCCUUUGCUCCAUUGUUUUCCCACUUUGUGAACCUAACAUGGGUCUAGCUUUCAAAUGUUUGGUAUGGAGAGGAACUACAAAUCAAUUUGAUCUUCUUUUUUAUUUUUUUUAUUUUUAUAACAAUGAGAAACCAAAGCAUAUAUUUCAAGAACCCUUUUACAACCUGUACUGUUUAAAGAAAUCAAGGAAAAACAAAAGAAAAGAAGGCUGAGAGUUGAAAGCCAGAUAAAAGCACAUUUUUUAGGGGAAUGAUAAAGUAAAGAAUUUGACUCUACCACCCUCAAUAAUAUAUGACUUUAUGGAGCUUCUACCCACAGAUGAGUAUGGUGGAGGAAAAGACUUGUGUCACUUUCUGUACAACCCCCUUUAUUCCAUGGCCCCCCUUCUCUUUGUCAGGGUUCUUAUCCAACCCUUCCUUACCUUGACUCCUUCCACCUUGCUGCUCACAUGGCACACAUUGCCCUUGUUGGACCUCUUCCAUCUGAUGAGCUGGAACAAGUGCCCUAUCCUCUUCCGCCACCUAAGCGGCGUAUGGGAUUUCCCAUGCUCUAUCACACUCUUGGUGUCCUUAGCCUCCCUGACCUCCUUAGCUUCCUUAGCUUCCUUGCUGAAGUUGUGAUUCCAGGACAUGUUGCAAUGCUCUAGAGAGACCUUAGACACUCUGUUCUUCUCCCAUGAGGCAACUCCAUUCUCUUCAAACUUGAUUGAUAUGAACGAGUCUGCAAAAGCCAUUUGCAUUGUGAAAUUGUGAUUACGGAUGCCAACAAAAAUCACAAAAAUACACAUUCUUUAUAACAGUUUUUUUUUUUUUUUUGGUAAUUAGAAAACUCCCAUGACCCACUAUCUCAUUGAGUAUUGAGUAUGAGGUCUUAGGAUAAACCCCAAAUACGCAAUCAUACGCAAACUACAUGUACUUAAUACUAAGAACAUGAUUAAUCAGCGAGUUACUACAUUACAAUGGUUACAAAAAUGGCCCAAAGGGUCCCCUCCUACAUCCUAAUUUGCCCGAAUCUGCAUGACCAAAAUCAACAGCAAAUGUAGUUCAAUUACAACAACAACAAAAAAUGUAACUAGAGCGACUUCUGCAUAAAUCUAUGCAAUUAGAUUUCAUUUCUUUCAAAAUGGCGCUAAUGAUUCUAAUCUUCUCUGUUUAAAUUAUGUGAAUAUUUGCAAAUAGAAUAUGUUAGUCAAAUGUAACAACUGCGUCUUCAUUCCCUCCAAACUUUACCUUCAUUAUUAUUAAUUAUUAAUAGUUGGUUGGGAUGGAAGGAGAGAGGGUUGAGUGCAAGCAAAGAGAGAGGAAAACAAAUGGAGGUUAGAACUAAAGAAAUAAGGUAAUAUAUAAUGAUCAUACUACCUUUUUCUCUUUAAAAUAUUUAAAAUAUCAAAUUGAGUUACUUAAAAUAAUGGAAGUAUGGUGAAUAUUUCAGAUAUUUCUAAAGGGGGUUUUUUUCCAAAAAUAAUAUAGAUUAGAAGGAGUAGUGCUCCUCACUUAUUUUGAAGUGAACAAAUGCAAUUGCACAAAAUCUCAUAAAGGAAACUACCAUUUACUUCUAAAACCAAAAAAGGAUGCAUCUUGGUACAAAAGGAUGAAGCUUUCUUACAUAUUCGUCAAACUCAUCUGCUUAUGGUUUAAAAAACUCAAUGAUGGUUUCUUCAUAAACACCGUAAAAAAUUGUGAAUUGAUUAUUAAACCCCAAAACCCAACUCUUUUUUUGCCAUCUGACAACCGAUUUUUUCUUUUUCAUGCUUGUUAUUAACCAAUUUAAUUAAGGAAAAAAUGGAAUCUUACAUCUCCAAUCUGCCCAUUAAUAUUCCUGUAUGAACAUAUAUAUACUUUGACCCUAAUUUUGUCAUUAUUACCCAAAAAGCAACUAAUUAUGCAAACAUAAUCAACCAGACCGCCACAAACAAACACACAUACAAAUCCAAGCACAAUGCUUAGCCUUUAACUUUGUUUAUAUCACCCGGAAUUAAUAUCUCAUUAUCACUAAAAGCUGCAAGACAAAAAAUAAAACUAAAAAGACUAAAACUUUACCACUCACCCACAAGAAAAAAUUACCUUCUUGGCUGGUGGAGGCCUCUUGAUCCAAGUAAUUUGGCUUCCACUGUCGAUUGAAGAAAGAGCUGAAAGCAAAGAUCUUGGGGAGGCUAAUGGGUGGCUUCUUGUGCAUGCCACUCGGAGUUCUAUGAGCACUAGCUCUGCCACUGGCUGAAGAAACAUGGUGGCCCUUUUUUGCAGCCAAGAUGAGAAGCUUCUCGGUCAAGCACAGAGAGCAAACACCCACAACCACCUCCUUUGGGUGGAAAUAGCAAUAGGAGUUGUCUUCAAAAUGCCCAUUCAUGUUAAGGCUGAGAGAAUUGGUUUGUUGAGAAGAGUUGAGGGUUUGAUUGAUGAGAAAGGUGAAAAAGAAAAGCGAAAAGGAAAGGGAAAAAAAUUUUGUGACUUGAAAAGAAAGAAUAGGUUCUGUUCUGUUCUGUUCUCUGUUCUGCUCUGCUCUGUGUCCGAGAAGUGGGAAUACGUGUUGUGUGUAUAUAUUGUGGAAGUCGUCAUUUAUAGUUGGGAAAAAUUUUAGAUCAACGGAGGUGAUCAUGUGGUUGGCCCACAAAUCAAUUUGGCCAAUAUAAAAUGUAGGAAUUGGAUAGCCCUGUAUGGAGUACUAAGACAUUACAUAUACAGUAUUACUAAGCAAACAUCUUUCCUUGCUAGGUUUUAAGUGUAAAACUGGCCAAACGUGUAAAGUCGUUUAGUUCUUUUAUUAUUUUUUAAUACAAACGAUAGUCUAAAUUAUAAAUGGAAAAGAGAUUUUUCACACAGACAUUACUAAUGUAUUAUGGGAAUUCAAAUCUGAGACCACUCAUCUACAAGUCAAAGUCAUUUUCCAUUAAGUUAGACCUCGUUGAUAGUUCUUUUAUUGUUUAUUUUGAGUUUGUAAAACAAAUUUCAUUGUAGGAUUUGAGGAACAAAAUCUCCACUCAAAGUUCAAAAUACCAAAACUCAUGCCCCAUACUUAUAACUACCUAUAAGGCCAAACCAAUGCCCCCAAAUUACAAACAUAAUUUUAAAAUUCACAUUGAAAUCCUAAAUUUAGAAAUCGUCAUAUCUAAUCCCAAAAUGUCAAAAUCCACACUUCAAACUCUAAAACGUUAAAAUUCACGCUUGAAACUCUAAAAUGCAAAAUUCAAACCCUACACUACAAAAUCCCAAAAUCCACACUUGAAGAUUAGAAAAUAAUGUAAACCCCAGAAAGUAAAAAUUCCUCCAAAACUCAAAAGAUUCACAUCUCAAACUUAAAAUAACAAAGUUCACACCUGAAUCCUCAAAAUGUCUCCAAUUCACACCUCAAACCCAAAAAGUAAUUCUUCUAUGCGCAUCUACUUGAGCUAGUGGAUUCCCAACAGACUUUUAAUCCACAUCCAAUCCAAUGGCUUUUUAAAGUAAAACUGUUAAACUUGUGACUUAAAGUUUGUAUUGGGUGCUUCUGUUUUUUAUCUUUUCUGUUCUGUUUCAACAAAAGCAUGGAGAAAAUUACUGGUAAUGUGGCCUAAGACCAUUCUGCUCCCUAGCCUAGAGGAAAAACAAGAACAAAACUAUGCAGUCAAUUGAUGCUGGUGCCCACACGUUCAGUUGAAUGAUUAUAUAUUUAUUUAUGGCUAAUCGUAAUCAUGGUAUGUAUUUUUCCCAAAAGUGAAGACUUAAUGCCUAGAAUUUGACAAAACCAACCCAAGAAACCCUAUAAAAAAACAAUUGGAUUGGGAUGUGAAGUUGGCCACUGGCAUGUGAGGUUCAAGUCAAAAAGUGCGACUUCCACUUUAUUUCUAACUUUAUAAAGGCACACAGCGCAGCAAAACUGGCAUAGGAUGUAACUAAAGCGGAGGGAAGAGUGCAAAGUGGAGCUGUUUUUGGGUCUUGGUGGGUAUUUUGUAGAUGCCCAAAGGGAAGCUCACAAGAUUUGGCAAUUUUUUUUGUAGUGGUUUUUCUUUUUUCAUCACGUCUUGGAAAAGGCUGUGGUGUUGUGCAUGCCUAUCUCCAAGAAGGUUAUUUUCUCUACAAAUGUAGUCAAGGCCUUGGUAUUGCAAAUUCCCUUGGAAGACCAGAGAAUGUACUUAUAGAAUUUGUGAAAAACAGACAUGUUUUUUCUUUUUCAAGAUCUUGGCGACAUUUAUGCACGCCCCCAAUCUCCAAAAGCUCACAUUCAUAUGUCGAUCCUUACAAGUUUAAUUUUGUCCAUUUUUGGUGUUUCAAGAUAAAGAUCUCUCAUGUACUUUGACAAAACAUGUCUACCUUAUUGUUCUUAGAAAACCACGCCCUAAAACCUUAAGCUAUUAUAUAUACACCAUCCCUCGCAUGGAGAGGCAAAUCAAUAGGAAGAGAGAGACAAACAUAUAAACGAGAGCAAGUUGAAAUCUGCAUAAUUUAGUACUUUCAAGAAAUAUACGUCUAAUUGUUGAUUGGAUAUAACGUCUUUGGCCAUUGAAGGAUGAAUUUCAUAUAAUCAUUAGAUUUUCCGUGUGAAGUAGAAAUACCUAACCUUAAGAAAGUGGCAUGAGUAAAAAGUGAGAUUUUAAUCUAGAAAUUACAUACAUGGAAUGCCUUUUUUUUUUUUUUUUUUUUUUUUUUUUUUAGGGUGUGAGAUUGGAAGAUAUGUUACGAAAAUCCUUAAAGGCUUGAAGCUUAAUACCUUGUAAGGUCGUCGUUUUACUCUUGCCCUAUGGAAAAUCCUAAAAGGUUUAGAAGGUGAAGUAAACAAGCAAAGUACACAAAUUUGUAGAAAAUUGGAAAAAUUAAAAAUUUAAAAAAAAAAAAAAAAAAAAAAAAGAGGUGAACAACCAAAGUACUGGGCACAUGGGGAGCGGGAAGUGGAGUGGGGCUGCUUCUAGUUUGGCUGCCUCAACUCUCAAGUCAGGUUCAUAUCAUGGACUGUGGACCAGAUUUGGAUUAACAGGCCUCCUUUUAGGCCAUAGGCCAUGUGACAUACAUAUCAUCAUUGGCCGGAGAUGGCACUACGUGGCUAUGAUAGCAAAACAAUACUACCUCUAUUAUAACUAAGUUUUUCUCUCCUUUCUAGGGCUACCCAAGUAUGCUUGGCCAAAACAAAAAAAGGCUACCCAAGUAUCAACAUUCUUCCACUAAAUUCACAAGCUAUCCAAGUGUCAACAAAUUUAAAUCCAAGUCUAGACAUACAUCUCUCUCGAAAACAAACCUAGACGACUAGUGUCUGCAACCCAACCUAGAUGUCAACUGAUCCCAAAAACAUAAAAAUAAAAUUCAUCACCAGUUGACUGUCUGCAACCCUAUGCUCUUCUGGUGGCAACUUCAACAACAGUAACCAUAUUAUCCAUCUGCAAGCACUUACCAUCCUUGUGAGUGAACCGCUCCGAUGAGCGUUUAGGAAACACACCAUAUGGGUUACAUAAGCGCUAACCUUGGCUGCACCAUGGACUGCCCAAAGUUCCUCCAAAAUAAAAAAGACACAAAAGGAAUGGUUAAGGAAGAUUUCAAGUUUCAAGUUGUGAAAGCAUAACAUAAAUGUUUGAAAUCCUUUUAUGUUUCUGAUGUACAUAUAACAAUUAUAAAUACAAAGGCUUCAUUGGUAUAUAAAGAGUAGGGAAGAAAUUAAAGAAGCACUAUGAGACACAUGGAAGAUAGUGUAGCAGACUCACCAUAUCAGAGUCGGGAAGCUGGUUUCUUAUCUGAUUCUCAUCUCUACGCCCUCCUGAUCUUUUCUCUGAUUUAAAAAUCAAAGUGUUCAAACAAAACUCCCAAAUGAAUCACAUUCACAUUUUAUAUGGCUUAUAAAUGUACGUCUGUUAACAAUGGGAUUCUUAUAUAUCUUUGCUGCAAGAGAUUAAGGUUUCAUUAUGAAGGACUUGAUAAAUACUUAGAGACAAUAUAUACUCUAAUAACGCAAACACCUGAAAAUGUGAAGCAACUGUGGGAACUCAGAGUCUCCGGGGAACAGAGUCUGCCUCCUCCUCACCAUCUCAGCUGCAAUUCAAAAAUCCUUAAUUUGGUAAUUCAAAGUAGUGAUGAAAUCACACACACUAAACAUUUUGAUUUCACAUAACUCACCAUAAUGAAUAUCAAACACUAACACAGAAACUCUAUUUUCUUUUCCCCUCAAAGUUCGAAGUAUCAACAUCACGAAUUGGAGAAAGGACUUUUUAAUUCAUUUUCUCUUGUUUGUAUAUCAGUAUCAAUAAAGUUAUACGUAAAGAAUUUAGAUAUAUUUAUUUUAUUAGGUAUGGCCUUCCUUCUUCAAUUGCAUGCCGCUUCAUAUGAAUUCCAUCAGCUUCGAUCUCAUGUUGCCCUUGUUCCCCUUCUUCUCAAUAUCUUCAGGGUAGAUUAUAUUAUGUUGCCGGAGUGGGUAAAUCCCAUCGUGUUGCCGCUGUUGUCUCUCAUAGCCACCCCUUUAAUUUUCAUAUCAUUGCUGUUGGGAUUUCCAGCAAUGCCAUGCGUGGAUUGCUCUUGACCCAUAUUGUCUCACUGAUUGAUUUUUAGUUGGGAUCUGCGUGUUUGCUUUGAGGAUGAACUCAUUUUGCUUUGAGGAUGAACUCAUUGCCUCAUGGUCGCCUUUUAUAGUUGUUGGCAUGCACAUAUGAAGAUGAUAUCCUUUUUCUUUGGAUGCUCGAUACGCUCUGAGCAUGAUCUAUAUUGAUCAUAAUAUUCAUCACAUAUAUUUACAUUCAUAUCUGCUUGGAAUAAUAUACUCGAGUAUAAAGGUUGCUAAUUUGCCUCGUCCGAUAGCUUUAAUGAGAAUAUAUAAAGAAUAUAUAAACAUGCAUGUCACAUUUGAAGUAUCCUUACCUUGCUUGCCAAGCCACUCCCUAUGCCAGCCUUCAGAACAACCUCAAAUUAUGGCGAAGCAAUUCAGUUUUCUCCUCUAAGGAUUGAAAAUUACAGCCUGUACUAGAGAAUACUCUAGUUUACGCUUGUCUUCUUGGAAUAAUAUACUACAGUACUGUCGUAGUGGCCUUUCUUUUUCUCUUUUUAGCUACUAGUAAUAGUUCAACACAGUUAAAACUAAGACACAUGAUUGAAUAGUGAAUUAUUAUUUCAUACUUCUCCUUCUCUUAUAUAUAUACAAGUAUAGGUUGACUUCUCCAACAAGGAAAGAAAUUAGCUAAUUACAAAGAAUCAUAACUAAGUAACAACUCUAAUUAGGUAAAGUGAAUUGCACAUACUCUAAUUAGGUAAUAUGACUCAUGCCAACACUCUCCCUCAAGUUGGUGCAUGGAUAUCUCAUAUGCCCAAUUUGUCAAGUAAGUAAUGAAAAACCUUUGCAGAUACCGCAUGUUUUAAGACAUCUGCCAGAUGUUCUCCUGACCUUACAAACGGUAUAUCAAUUAACUUUUUCACCAACUUCUCCUUGAUAAAAUGCUUAUCCACUUCAACAUGCUUAGUUCUAUUAUGUGAAACUGGAUUAUUUGUUAUCUCCCUACCAACUUGGUUAUCACAAUAAAGCUUCAUGGCCUUCUAUGGUGGAAACUCAAUUUCAAACAGGAGUAUUCUUAGCCAAAUAAGCUCACAAACUCCAUGCCACAUCCAUGUACCCCCAAUGAAAGUGAAGUAACCUAAUGUAAAACGUCUAUCUGUUAUAUUGUCUGCCCAAUAUGCAUGUAUAUAACCCUUGACAUCAAAAUGCCCUAGUUUUCUCAAUAUCAAAUCUCUUGCUGGAGCUUUCUUCAAAUAACUCAAUAUUCUCAUAAAUGCUGCUAAGUGAUACUUACUAGGGGAAUGCAUGAACUCACUAACAACACUAAUCGCAUAUGCAAUGUCUGGUCUAGUGUGUGAGAGAUAAAUAAAUUUUUCCACUAACCUCUGAUAUAUAUAUAUAUAUAUAUAUAUUUUCUUGUUGGUUGGCACUUGAUUAGGACAUGUUGCUAAAUGAUGAUUCUACACAAUAGGGGUUUAGGGUGGUGCACGCCCUAACAUACCACUCUCUAUCAAUAUGUCUAGAACAUACUUCAUUUGAGAAAGACAAAUACUAGUAGCUGAGCGAGUUACUUUGAUUCUCAGAAAAUACUUCAAAGCUCCCAAGUCCUUCAUCUUAAACUAUGAGGCUAAGUACUUCUGUAAUUUACUCAUUUCAUUAAUGUCAUCACCACUAAGAACCAUAUCAUCUACAUAGAUUAUCAGCAAAGUAACCUUACCAUCCCUACGUUUGAUAAAUGUAGUAUGAUCCAAAUUACCUUGGUGAUAUUCAUACUUCUUCAUUGCUUCAGUGAACCUCUCAAACUAUACUCAUGGAGACUGGUUCAAACCAUAAAGAGCUUUGGAAGCCUACAGGCCUUCCCACUGCCACUAGACAACCCAUAACUAGGUGGUAGAUCCAUGUACACUUUUUAUUCAUGAUCUCCAUGUAAAAAGACAUUCUUCACAUGAACUACUUGAAAUGCCAAUCUAAAUUAGUUGCUAUGUACAAUAGAACUUGCACUGUAUUCAUUUUCACAACUGGAGCAAACCUAUCUUGGUAGUCAACUCCAUAUGUCUGCGUAAACCCCUUGGCUACAAGUCUUGCUCUAUAUCUGUCAAUUGUCCUAUCAAGUUUGUGCUUAACUGUAUACACCCAUCGACAUCCAUUAUGUUUCUUUCCCUCAGUUUGCUGAACAAUUUUCCAUUUUUAUUAAAAUCGCUAUGAAAGGUUUACCAAAAUGCUAUAAAACAAUAGUAGAUUAUGGCUCUCAGAUGUUUUCAUCUUCUUCUUCAUCCAAGCAGAUCGAUAACAUAUGGUCACUACUGACUUUUUUUCUUGUAGUUCUCAACUUCCAUCUUUCAAGCUAUCAACCAAGUUGUUGCAUUGCUCCUCACUGUUAGAAGAGCCUCCCUUCCCUCCUCCUCGAUUGAUUGAAAGAAAGAAAACAAAAGCAACUUAUGAAACAAGCCCCUCAUUUCCUUGUUAAACAUAAAUCGACCCAUUAUUAACGAGGACUCAGAAUCUAAGAGCACACUAGUAAUUAACCUGAGUGAGGAAUAUGGAUGGUGGAUCUCUCUCUCUCUUUUUUGAAAAAAUCAACUUCAUUAUCCUUGGUGAAUUUGUUCUGAAUUAGUCGUGUCAAGCUAUUACUAGCUAGCUAAAAACAAUACUGUAGUAUAUUAUUCUCUGCAUUUGGGCAUGCCAACAACAAAAAAUAUUAUUCUCUAUUAUAGCAUAGAGACUAAUUAUCAAAACAGAAAAUAUGAAAAAAGAAGCUCCCAAUCCGAACUUUAAGUCACAAGUUUAACAGUUUACUUUAAAACAAAAGCAAGUUACGAAACAAUCCCCUGAUUUCCUUGUUAAACAUCAACCGACCCAUUAUUAAUGAGGAUUGAGAAUCUAAGAGCAUAUGGACGAUGGAUCUCUCUCUCUUUUUGAAAACAAAAACAAAAACAAAAAUCAACUUCAUUAUCCUUAGUGAAUUUGUUCGGGAUUAGUUGUCUUGAAUUAGUACAGCUUACUUACGCAAUCGAAUAUCAAACCUAGCUAGCUAAAAAGAGAAAAAGAAAGGCCACAACGACAGUACUGUAGUAUACGUGAAGAAUCUUAUGAUCUAUAAUAUUCUGUAUUAUUGGCCAUCAUUUUCAAUCCUUAUUAAAGAAAACUUGCUUCGCCAUAAUUUCAAGUUGUUCUGAAGGCAGGCGUAGAGAGCACGUAGCUUGGCAAGGGAGGUAAGGGCACUUCGAAAGAUUCCUUCUCAUCAUCUAUACAAGGAAAUGUGUUCUCAUCAAGCUAGGGGACAAGGCAAAUUAGCAACCUUUAUACUCGAUAUAUUAUUCCAAGCAAUAUUAUGAUGAUGAUCAAUACGGAAUCUCUGUAUCAUGAUCAGUGGAUGUAUCGAUCGACCAUCCCAAGAAAAAGGAUAUACGUACUCUGCAUAUGUGCAUGCCAACAACUAUAAAAGGAGACCAUGAGGCAAUGAGUUGAUCAUCAAAGCAAACACACAGAAAUCCCAACUAAAAAUCAAUCAGUGAGACAAUGGCUGGAACCAAUGAUAUUAAAAUUAAAGGGUUUGAUUUGAGCAACAACAAAGGCAACACGUCGGGAUUAACCCACUUCGCCAACAGAGCUGCCGAGGGCGACAAGGGCGACAAUAAAAUCGAGGUUGAGGAUGCUAAAGGGCAAGGGAACACGGGAAACUUGAAAGUACUGACCGACUUCGCCCAACGCGGUAAAGUGGGCCAGUCGGAUCGCCAAGAACUACUCAAACCUCAGGCAUGAAAUUGAAGAAGGCCAGACCACAACAACUUGUCUGCUUGAUAGAUAUAUGUGCUAAAUUAUCUACACAAAAAUAAGAGCUGAUGUUUUAUCUGAGGCUCCUUCCUUGGUUAGGCCUCGUUAUCAUGUGUAAUAUUAAUAUUAUUAUUCUAAUAAAAUAAUGGUAGCUUAUUAUUAAAUAUAUCAGAAUUCUAUACGUAUAACUUUUAGAUUAUUGAUACUGAUGUCAACAAGAGAAAAUGAUUAAAAAUUCCUUUCUCCAAUUCGUGAUGUUAGACAAGAAGCAAACAAAUUUAGGAUAAUGGAUUUUAAAAGUUUGGUGACAAAUGAUGGUAAAGAAGAAUUUAGCCACUACUACAAAAAGUGAAAAAGACGACCAGAAAACAACGACGGUCUAAGUGAAAACCGUCGUGGUUUAUAAAAAGACGACGGUUCUAAAAACACCGUCGUGUAAUACAACCUUAGACAACUAAAAAAUGGAGUUUCAAAUGGCUGUUCAAAAACAACGACGUACAUAAUUAAACAACCGACGUCUAUUUGAAACAGAUUUCCUCAGUGUAAAAUCAAUGCCAACAAAGAACGGCAGAAGUUAUGAAUCGACCGACGUAGAAAGUAAAGACGACGAUUUCAAUAAAAACUGCCGUUUUUACUCAUAAAAUAACACGACGAGGUUUUCGUAUAAGACGCCGUAUAAUUACAAACAAAUCCACGGCUUUAAAAUACAAAAUAUCGCCGUAUUAAAUUAAUUUACAACGACGGAAAAUAUAAAUAUAUCGACGUCAUUCUCGUAUAGUUCUACUACGUUAUCUUUAAAUCGUACAAUAAAAUUUAUCGUCGUAUUUAUUCAUUUUAUACGUCGUACCUUUAAUUUUAACGGUCGUCUUAAUAAGAAUUUUUGUUAACAAUUUUUUUCUUUGAUUUUCUUAUCCUACGUCGGUAGAUCUACUUAAUGACAAGAAUUGAAAUAACCACGACGGUUUAUAUAGAACACCGCCGACAUAAUCAGUUUUGUCUGAGAUCCCAAGGGUUACGAAAUCUUACCAGAUGGAACUCUGUUCCACAUCAUAAUCUUAACAGAUGACACAGAUUUGCAAAUAUUGCGUCGUGUUAGUUUACAAAUUCUAGAACAUUAAUUUCCCUCAUUUUAAAUUUCCUCGGGAAAGAAAAAUCUAUUUAUCACGCUUUGGAAUUGAAAACUAAAACUGAAAGAAUACGGGAAAAAAAACUCCAUUUAUAAUUUAAAAUUAAAAUCCACGUCGGUUGUAGUACACUUAACGACGUUUAACAAAAUAAUCUACGUCGGUAAUUAUAAAUCUACCGCCAUCGUAACUUAAUAUAGACGACGAGAAAAGACGACGGUAGAACAGAAAACCGCCGUUGUUUCAGUUUCUUUAACAUAUCUUUCUGCAGGACUUGUGUAGUUCAAAGCAUUGACAAUGUCUUCAUCAUAUCUCCCAGAAACUACUGAUUCAAUUGCUCAUGCUUUAGAGGCCAUCUGAAGCCAUUUCUAUUCUUUAUCGCAUUCUUGAAACCCAUCUUCUUCUUCUGAAGCUCUACGGAUAAAGGAAGAGGCUAUCACAAUAAAUCCGACGGAUCUUCUUAGGCAAGAAAAUCAAGCAGAGGAUCAGGCACAUCUGAUCUUCAGAUUUCCCUGAGAAGCGAACUUUCCUUCGACAGCGAGUGGAGGCCAGGCUUGCAUCUCUUUUGAUGGAAAGCAAGGAGUAUUCAGAAGCACUAAGUGUCCUAUCAGGCUUGAUCAAGGAAGUGAGAAGGCUAGUUGACAAGCUUCUUCUUGUGGACAUAUAUUUGAUGCGAGUAAGCUCAAUUUCUCUUUGAGAAAACAUCCAAAUUAUUAUCUUUGAGACAUGAGAGACUGAGAGAGGAAGAACUUGGAACCUUAAAUGUAAACCGAAAAUGAAUGAAAGCGACAAAUUUAUAGAAUAAAUUUUUAAAACCAACGGCGGUCCUUACAAACAAACCGCCGUUUAAAUUGUAAAAUCAACGUCGGUAUGAUCGACGUAUAUUACAGAAAUCCACGUCGGUAAAUUAAUAAAAACGACGUGUUAAAUAAUAUACCAUGACGCGAGUUAUUACUUAUGUACUUUAAUUUUUGAGUUUACUACGACGGUACCUACAAACUACUGUCGUAUUUAUUUACCACGUCCGAAGUUAAAUGUACCGUCGUAUUUUGUAAUUUAUACGUCGUAGUUAUAUGUAACCGCCAUAUUAUUUUUUUGAAAUGGUUUUAUAUGUAAGCAACUUUUCGUCUACUUGACUUACACAUUUGUUGUUUUUAUAUUCUUAUUUUAUUUAAAUCUGUCAUCCAAAAAAGAAACUUUACAUAUUGCAGAAUAUUAAUUUCCUUCGUUUUAAAUUUCCUCCGGAAAAAAAACUCUAUUUAUAACGCACUGUAAUUGAAAAAUAAACUGAAAGGUCACGGGAAAAAAAAUUCUAUUCAUAAUUUAAAAAUUAAAAUCCACGUCGGUUAUAUUAAACCUAACGACGUUAAAUGAAAUGAUUCCACGUCGAAUGAAAAAUAUUGCGUCGUUUUAGUUAAAAACGACGUAGUUAAAUGUAACCGCCGUAUUAUUUUUUUGAAAUGGUUUUAUAUGUAAGCAACUUUUCGACUUACACAUGCACUGUUUCCAAACCCGAUUAAAAAUUUCAAUCUCCCAGAGAAACCUUUUCGUCUUUUUUCCUUGUCAGAGCAUUGUCAGAGUUUUUCAUCGUCUUCCUCUCGUCUUCUUCGUCGUCUCUGAACUUAAACAUCGAUCAUCUUCCUCUUGCUUUCAUUGCACGCAAAAGGUAAGCUUUCAUUUUCACUAUUUUGGUUACUGUUUUGCAUGCUCAUACGUUUUUUGUUUGAAAAAUCUUUUUACCUUUUUUCUGGCCAAAAUCAUUUUACUUCUUUCCAAGUUUGAUAAAAUAUACAGACAAAGAGAGAAAGUUUCCAACUUUGAAGACAACUACAUCAACUAAAUAAGACGACGGUAGACCACGACGGUUCGUCAGUUGUUCUAGCGUCGUCUGAAAAUUGACAAAGUUGUUUUUAAAAUAAUAGUCUUUUUUUAUAUGCUUGUUUAAUUGCAGGUUUGAUUUCGCUGAACAAUGGUUUUUGUUUUUCCCUUAUUUGAUAAAAUAUAAAGAAAAAGAAACUAGGGUUGGUAUCUAAUAUAGACGAUAAAAUAUAAAUAAUAGUUUACCACGACGGUGUAUUACUAUUGACGUCGUGUGAACAUAUAUACCACGACGUUAUAUAAAUAAUGGUUUUAAACAUUUAUUACGUCUGAGAUUAUUUCAUUGCGUCGUCUAAAAUCAUAUCAUACGUCGUAUUUUUUUAAUACCGUCGUUUGUGUUCUUAAUGUUUUCCUGAAAUAUUUUCACUUGCAGUUUUGUCUGUUAAAAUGGUUUCUCAACAACAAACUAAGGAUUCUGGCUCCAAGAAGCUUGGAAUGGUAGCUCCUCAAGAUAAGUCUUCGAAGGAGAUGAAGUCUUCGAAGAAGAUGAAGUUUGCUUCAUCAUCUGCUGAGACAGAACAAACCAGCCAGACAACAAUCUCAGAUGAUUCAAAGACUGGUCGAGGUAUGAGCACAAUGCCUCGUGUUGUGAAGAGAAAGCUUCAGAAACUGAGGCCAAUUGUUGAGUACAAUAAAAGGGGGAAAGGUGUUGGCCAAGCACAUAUUGAGAUGCAGUCGUAUAUUGGUGUGUUGGCACGCUCCAGGAUCCCACUUGUGGACAAGAAAUGGUCCCAAAUCCCCAAGGAUAUAAAGGAGCAGAUUUGGGAAGCAGUUGACAUGGCUUUUGUCGUAGGCCAAGGGGGCAAGACCUCUGUUUUAGCUUCUGCUUCCAAGAAAUGGAAGGAUUUCAAGUCUACACUAACGAGGCAUUAUAUCCUUCCAUACACCAAUGACAGGGAGAAAUUAAGCCAACCCCCUGAAACAUAUAAAUUCAUAGAGAAAGCACAAUGGGAUGCCUUUGUAGCUUCAAGGCUAUCCAAAGAUUUUGAGUCUGUGCAUUCUCAACAUGCACAGAUUAGGGAGAAACUCGAGUACAAUCAUCGAUUGUCUCGAAAAGGAUAUGCUGGAUUGGAGGAUCAAUUGGAGGAAACCAUGCCUGGGGUAGAAAUUGAUCGAUCUACCUUAUGGAAGAGAGCUAGACAGGACAAACAUGGUAACAUCCCUGAUCCAAAGGUGGCAGAGAAAGCAAAAUUAAUUGUAAGCCUACUAUCACUCUGUUUUAAAUUUUUAUUAAACUGUGAAUUAUUCUUAUUACGUCGUAUGUUAUAUUUUUCGUCGUGUGAAUGAUAUUACCACGUCGAAAAGUUUUUAAAAACGUCGUUAAAGGUCUAAAUAGGAAUCACUACUAUGUUUUCUGUAAUUACAGCAUAAGACGUCGGUGGUUCAUUUUCGCGUCGUGUGAAUGAUAUUACCACGUCGAAAAUUUUUUAAAAACGUCGUUAACGGUCUAAAUAGGAAUCACUACUCUGUUAUCUUUAAUUAUAGCAUAAGACGUCGGUUGUUUAUUCAUUUCGUCGUUUUAAAUAAAUAACCACGUCGGUAUAACUACCGUCGUGAUAAGUUAUAAUAACGUCGGUUUAUACGUUAUUGCGUCGUGUGAAAUUAUAUAAUACGUCGUUUGUACAUAAAUAACCGUCGUGUGUUUUUUUGUUUAUCUUUUUUUAGGAUGAAUUGCAGAAACAAGUCUCGGAAGGCAAAGUCAGAGUAGAUGGCAGCAAUGAUGUGCUGACCAUGGCUUUGGGCCCCGAGCAUCCAGGCAGACUGAGGGGAGUUGGUGCUGGUGUUUCCCCAAGGCAAUAUUUCAAUUUGCCCAAACCACAGAGGGUGAGCUUUGACGACCGUUUGAAGGACAGUUUAAGAGUUCUCCUUCAAGAAGAGACUAAAAAGAUGGAGGCUAAGGCAAGGGAAGAGGCCUUAAGGAUGGAGGCUAGGACAAAACAAUUGGUAGAGGCUGAGAGGGAGCAUUUCCUGAGUCAGCUUUCCCAAUUAAUUCCCAAUUUUGAUCCAAGCAUGCUUAAACCAAGAAUUAGCCAAAGCCCCAAAAAUCCAAUGUCUGACAAAGCUAGCUGCUCUGGAGGUGAUGUGAGAUCCCUACAUUUGGAGGAUGAUACUGCCAAAAUGGGGAAACAUCAGCCAGAUGAAGAGAAGGAAGAAGAAAAAAGAGAUGAAGAGAAGGAAGAAGAAAAGGAGAAAGAAGAUGAAGAAAAGCAUGACGACAAGGUAUGUUCACAUAACUUUGCCUUUUUUAUUUGUUUUUCAAAAUUUCAGACGUCGAUAUUUUUAUUUAAUCCGUCGUUUGUUUAAAACUUAGACGGCGGAAUUUUUUUAAGACGUAAUAAAAUAUUUAAACGACGGUUUUUGCACCGUCGUUUAAAUGGUUUCAGACGACGCUUUAUUCAUAAAACCGUCGUCUUUAUUGAAUUACCACGACAGUUUUUUCACCGUCGUUUAAAUACUUUUAAGACGACGUUUUAUUACUUAAACCGUCGUCUUUAUUGAAUUACCACGUCAUUUUUUUUAUUUCUUUAAACAGGUUAUUGAAGUUGGUGCUUAUUCAAAAAUGGAGGCGCCAUCUUCUUUAAAAACCCUUUGUCGUUUUGUGGAAACGACACUCCUGCCUGAGGAUAAGACACUCCAAUUUACAAUUGAUAAGGAGGUGUUUGGUGGUGAGCGCGAUACCUUCCUCCUGCCUGAAGAUAUUACACAAUUUGCAGGCAUGGAAGAAAUUGGAGCUACUGUAUUGGCUGUAUAUAUGAGGUUUGUACUUCUAAAAUAAUACCUCGUUGGUUUAUAUAUUGCGUCGUCUUAACUAACUAACCACGUCGUCUUAACUAACUACCGUCGUGAUAAAUAUAUUAUAACGUCCUCAUCUAUUUCAGUACGUCGUGUGAAAUAUUAUAAUACGUCGUUUUUUUAUACAUAACCGUCGUGUUUGUUUGUGCUGACUUGUUUAUAUUAUUUUAUGUAUUUAGGUACUUACACGAUGUUUUGAAACAAGCCAAUAUGUGCAGCAUGGUUGGCUUUAUUGACCCUGCUACAGUUAGUGCCAACUCUGGCACAAUAACUGAAAGAUCACGACUGGUAGCAGCUCGACUUCAGAAGACAGACGGUGAACAGCUUUUCAUGAUGCCUUACAAUCCAGGGUUAGUCUCCUUAGGAUUUUGUUUUUAUGAUUUUCAAUAAAUGACAGCUUAUAAACUAACCACGUCGGUGUUUUAUUUUAUUUAGUCGUUUGAAACUACUAACCACGUCGGUAUUUAUUUGUCGUCGUGAUAAAUAUAUAAUGUUGUCGUUAUCUACUUUAUUUCGUCGUGUGAAAUACUAUAAUACGUCGUUUUUGUAAAUAACCGUCGUUUUUAUAUUAAUUUUGUGCAGCCGUCAUUGGAUCCUGCUGAUUGUAAGAGCAAAGAAGGAGACCGUCUAUUUUCUGGAUCCUCUGCCAGGUCAUCGUGUGGUCGACGAAGAGGCGAAAAACAUCGUGAACAGUGCUUUAAAAAUAUAUAAUACCCACAUAGGCCGAGCAGGACGUAAAAAUGUAAUUUGAAAAACUCUCUCAGGCACACCAAAGCAACCCAGCAAUGUCGAAUGCGGGUAUUAUGUGAUGCGCUUCAUGAGGGACAUCAUCAUGGAUCCUUCCUUGGGGUUUGAGAAUAAGGUAAGAAGAAAUUACCUUCAUACAUUUCACGUCGUUUUUUGUAUUAUCAACGACGGUCAUGUAAAAUUAACGUCGUUGAAUGGAUAUACUACGUCGGUUAUGAAAAAUAUCGUCGUCUGUGAUUGAAUUUCUUUUUAUUUAUAAACCCUAAUAGUCAUUGUUUAUGCAGUAUGCCAAGGGAAACCAGGAAGCUUCAUACCCCCAAGAAGCCAUUGAUGAAGUCCGGAAUGAAUGGGCAGAGUUUGUUUUCCAAAUUAUUAAACAGGGCAAUUAUUGAACACUUGAUAUUUAUGUAUAAUGUACCAAUUUUCUCUAUAAUAUGUAAUGUAAAAAUUUGUUGAGGUUUUCUUAAAUUAAAAAAAAAACAAACAUACAAAUUGCUUAACCGACGUGUAAUACUUUUCCAACGACCUAAUAAAGUCACAAACCGUCGUAUUUUGUUGUUUCGUGUUUUAAACAAUUACGACGUAAAAAAAUAGUUAGACGACGUUCUUUGAACAAUUGAGUCGUUAAUGGUUUACAAUAUCUUCAAUUUCUUAAGGGUUCAGGGUAUAAUCGACGACGUUUAUGUAACGACUGCGGUUAAGUCGUAAAAUAUAUAUUUUACGUCGUAUAGUUAAAUAGCCGCCAUGGUUUUUCAUUUUAACGACGUCAUUUUAACGACUUAGUAGUCUAUUACAAUUUACAACGUCUACAAUUUAUUAACACCGACGUGGUUUGUUGUUGUGGUAAGAAUAUUUUAUUAUUUUUAUAUCAAAAUAUUCAAAAUAAAUUUAAAAUAAAUCAGAAAAUUGAAAAGUCAACUCCUAUGAAGUCAUUGAUAUAUUUUCUUCCACAUAAACCUUGAAAAAAUUCAUUUUGAAUAACAAAAAUUUAAAAUGACCAUCCAAAACAAAAUUGUUUUGAUGACUCAUAAAAUCACUUCUAGUUUUAUGGUUUAGGGUUUAGAGUCUAGGGUUUAGAGAUUAGGGUUGUUAUUUAUUGGGGUUUAUUUUUAAAGUAUAAUUUUUGGGUAGUCUAGGGUAUAUGUUAGGCUUUAAAACCAUAAAACCUUUUAUAAACUUAAUUUUUUAAAUUGUAUAAUUUAAUUUUAUGGGUUUAGGGUAUUAAUUUUUAACGACGGUGGUUGGGUCGUGGAAUACAUAUUUUACGUCGUACAGUAAAACAUACGACAUGGUUUACGCUUUAAACGACGUCAUUUUAAUAUGUAAGUCGGUUUAUAUAAUUUACAACGUCAACGUCUUUAAUUUCUUAACACCGACGUGGUUUUUCAGUCGUCGUUAUAUAAAAAAUUCAAAAUAAAUUUAAAAUUAAUCCGAAAAAUGAACGGCCUUACGUUCUUAAUCCGAAAAAUGAAGUUUCCGUCGUGGAAUAUUAAAUUUACGUCGGUACUUGUAGAACUUUCGCCUUGGUUUUUCUUUCGACGUUUUAAAACGCGCGCGCUCUAAAAAUUUUCGCGCGACCUAAACUUUUUUAGAUUUGGCUCUUAUUCUUAUACUUCGAACCCUGAAACCUAAAANNNNNNNNNNNNNNNNNNNNNNNNNNNNNNNNNNNNNNNNNNNNNNNNNNNNNNNNNNNNNNNNNNNNNNNNNNNNNNNNNNNNNNNNNNNNNNNNNNNNNNNNNNNNNNNNNNNNNNNNNNNNNNNNNNNNNNNNNNNNNNNNNNNNNNNNNNNNNNNNNNNNNNNNNNNNNNNNNNNNNNNNNNNNNNNNNNNNNNNNNNNNNNNNNNNNNNNNNNNNNNNNNNNNNNNNNNNNNNNNNNNNNNNNNNNNNNNNNNNNNNNNNNNNNNNNNNNNNNNNNNNNNNNNNNNNNNNNNNNNNNNNNNNNNNNNNNNNNNNNNNNNNNNNNNNNNNNNNNNNNNNNNNNNNNNNNNNNNNNNNNNNNNNNNNNNNNNNNNNNNNNNNNNNNNNNNNNNNNNNNNNNNNNNNNNNNNNNNNNNNNNNNNNNNNNNNNNNNNNNNNNNNNNNNNNNNNNNNNNNNNNNNNNNNNNNNNNNNNNNNNNNNNNNNNNNNNNNNNNNNNNNNNNNNNNNNNNNNNNNNNNNNNNNNNNNNNNNNNNNNNNNNNNNNNNNNNNNNNNNNNNNNNNNNNNNNNNNNNNNNNNNNNNNNNNNNNNNNNNNNNCUGUUUUUGUUUAAAACCCGUCGUCUCAUGUUGUUUAUACCUUGCGAUUAGAUCAUGUAUAAUCUGCUAUAGUGAUGGUCAUGCCUGUAUUUUCACUUUUAUAUAGAUAAUAGGUUAUAGUGUCGGAGAUGGAUAAGUCAUGGAUGCACUCGGAUAGAAGAUCGAAGGCAUAUGAGUUUGGGGUGGAAGCAUUUUUGAACUUUGCUGUAGAAAAUCUUCUAACUACAACACAUAUCCGUUGUCCAUGUGUUAAAUGUGUUAAUUUGAAGUUGUUUGGGGUUGGAAUUAUAAGGGAUCACUUAUACUUUAAUGGAAUUGACCAAAGCUAUAAGAAUUGGACAUUUCACGGAGAACCUUGGGAAGCAACUACUAAUGCUAGCAGAAAUGUUGAAGAAGAUGAUGGCCAUAGUAGGUACAGUUUUGUGUCUGAAGAAAUUGAUAUGGAUGAUAAUGAUUUUGGUGAUUUUGGUUCGGAUCCGUAUGAGUUUGCCAAUGUGAUUGGGGAUGGAGAUCAACCAGUGUACCCUGGUUGUAGAAAGUACACGAAGUUAUCGGCAUUAGUGAAGUUGUAUAAUUUGAAGGCAAAACAUGGGAUGAGUGAUGUCUGUUUUACAGAAUUAUUGAUACUUCAAGGCGAUUUGCUUCCAGAAGGAAAUACAAUACCAACCUCCAUGUAUGAGGCUAAAAAGACUUUGUGUGCAUUGGGGCUGAGUUAUGAGAAAAUGCACGCAUGCCCCAAUGAUUGCAUCUUGUAUAGGAAGGAGUAUGAGGAUUCAACUAAUUGUCCUACUUGUGGUAUCUCAAGGUGGAAGGAAGGCAAAGAUGCAAUCUUGAAAGAGGGUGUGCCAGCGAAGGUGGUGUGGUAUUUUCCCCCAAUUCCAAGGUUUAAAAGGAUGUUUCAAUCACAUGAGACAGCUAAGAGUUUGACUUGGUGGCAUGUUGCUAGAAAAUCAAUUGACGGUCAGAUGUCUCAUCCGGCGGAUUCCCCGUCUUGGAAACUUCUUGAUGAUAAAUGGCCUGAGUUUGGUAAUGAGCCGAGAAACUUGAGAUUGGCUCUUUCAUCUGAUGGAUUCAAUCCCCACAGUUCUCUAAGUAGCAGAUAUAGUUGUUGGCCGGUUAUCUUAGUUACAUAUAAUCUCCCUCCAUGGCUGUGCAUGAAACGAAAGUUCAUGAUGUUAACCUUAUUGAUUUCCGAUCCUAAACAACCCGGAAAUGAUAUAGACGUCUACUUGGAGCCUUUGAUUGAUGAUUUAAAAUCCUUGUGGGUUGGGAUUAGAGGAGUGUAUGAUGCACAUAAUGGAGAAUACUUUACACUCAGAGCUGCAUUAAUGUGGACAAUUAAUGAUUUCCCCGCCUAUGGAAACUUAUCUGGUUGUGUUGUUAAAGGAUAUAAAGCUUGUCCAAUAUGCGGCGAUGAUACACCUAGUCAAACAAAUAUUUUUUGUUGACGACCCGAUGCAUCGUGGUUGGUCGUGUAGGCGUGUGAGUGUGUGUUUGUGUUUGUUUUUGUGUGUGUGUGUGUGUGUGUGUGUGGUGUGUGUGUGUGUGUGUGUACCAUUACUNNNNNNNNNNNNNNNNNNNNNNNNNNNNNNNNNNNNNNNNNNNNNNNNNNNNNNNNNNNNNNNNNNNNNNNNNNNNNNNNNNNNNNNNNNNNNNNNNNNNAUGUAAUUGGCAGUGUAUGACAUUAAUUUUGUAAUAUAUUGUAAUGUGAUUUCUUCACUUUCUACGUUCAAAUAAAACACGACGUUAUUGUGAAUCAGUUAUUCAGCAUAUUUACCGACGUCUUAAAGCAACGUAACAAUGAAGAACCACGACGCUAUUGUGAAGCAAUUAUUCAGGAUAUCACGUCGGUGAAGGAUAAAGAACCGCCAUGUAAUUCAAAAUAACACGACUCCAAUCCCAUAAUACCGACGUCUAAAAAACGAGAUAUGUAAUCUGAACGUUAAAAAAUACGACGUCAUCAUACAUUUUCCACGUCGCAAGUUCUUUUAUAAACGAAGAGGAACGAAAUUAAUUCCGACGGAAAUUCAUUAUAACCGCCGUCUAAUAACAAUUAAACGACGUUAUUUGUAAUACGGCUCCCAUCAUAAUCUACGCCGUCUAUAUGUUCUGUAAUACGGCUCUCAUUUAUUUGGAACCGACGUUGUUUAGACGUUCAACGUCGUCUAUAUUAUUAAGUGCGUCGUGAGUAAUGAAUACAUAUAAAUACAACGUCGACUAUAUAAAUGUAUACGUCGUAAAUAAUGACACUGACAACUAUUUCCACGUCAUCUUUUUUAGAUAAAAUCGAAGUGGAAAAUUUAUUUCACGACGGUUUUUUGUAAAUAAGAGACGUUGUAGAACUUUAGCAGACUAAACACGUCUGUUUUUAUUGUUUUCCGACGUUGUUGUAUUUAACAACGUCUAAUAUUUAUGGUCGUUGUUUGUUUCUGAAAAUAGGACGUAUAAAUUUUUUAAUACGACUCUCAUAUAUUUGUAACUGACGUUGUUUAGUUUUUCAACGUCUACUAUAGAAACACAUACGUCGUAAAUAAUGACACUGACAACUAUUUCCACGUCAUCUUUUAUCAAAAAAUCGAAGUGGAAAAUUAAUUGUACGACGGUUGUGUUUAUAUGUGCGACGUAGUAGGUAUCAAUAACAUCGUCUUCUAAUGUAUUUAAAGACGUCAUAUUUUUUAUUGUCGUGAAAAUUAUAUUUAACGUCGGCGUAUUUUUAUUGUCGUCGUUGUAUGUCUAUCUUGCGGCCUUGUUCUCUUAAUAUGUGUCAUAUUUUCCCUUUUUAACGACGGUCUUUUUAGAGAAUUGGUCGUCUAUUAUCAUCAUCGAUUGCUUUUUUUAGAUCUUUUUGCAGUACAAAGACGUCGUUUUGUAUUUUUUGAUGACGUUGUAUUGUUUAACAACGACGGUUAUUUAGCGUCGUGGUUUAUGAGGGAAAAGAUGACGGUGGAUUCCACGACCAUUGAAAAACCAAAUACACGACGGUGAUUUACCGUCGUCUUUUUGCUUUUUUGUAGUAGUGAUCGGAAACUUGACUAAUUAGAAUACAACAUAUGUCGAAAUAUUUUUAUCAUAAAUGGUCUCUAAGGUUCGUGAAAUUAUUAGCUUUAGUCCUUCAUGUUUUUUUGUGACAUCAUUGGUCCUUUAUGUUACUCCUCUUCACACAUCAAUUUGGUUCUGCCGUUUGGAUUCGUCAAAAUUUAUGUUAAAUUGAUGGCAUGACAUGUAUAUGGUGCCUACAUAUCCAAUGAGAUAAUGACCCGUGGAUCUAAGUAAAAAAUUUGUUUUAAAAAAAUAGUUUCAUAUUUAAAAUUUUUAAAGGGCGAAGACUCAUUGGGUAACUCGAAGUUUGGGUUGUUGAAGCCUUCAAGCAUGGUUUUGCUCACAAAAGAUUGGAACGCAAUGUGUUGGGUUGAGCACUGAAAACCAAAGAAUAUCAAAAAUGUAGUAGGGGGGAGAGAGAGAGAGAGANNNNNNNNNNNNNNNNNNNNNNNNNNNNNNNNNNNNNNNNNNNNNNNNNNNNNNNNNNNNNNNNNNNNNNNNNNNNNNNNNNNNNNNNNNNNNNNNNNNNACCUCAUGUCAGCACUUAAUAGAAAAUUUGACGGACCCUAACGGCAUGGAUCAAAUUGAUGUGUGGUGUGUAACAAAAAGGAUCAAUAAUGUCACAAAAAACAUAAAGGACCAAAGUUGAUAAUUUUGCGAACCUUAUACACCAUUUAUGAUAAAAACCCUAUAUUGUAUAAUUUUAGUGUGUUUUUUUCUUAAAUGCUAUUGAGAAGAGAUUUUAUAAAACUGCUAUAUAAAAGGUUCACCACAAUGCUAUAAAACAAUAGUAGAUUAUGGCUCUCAGAUGUUUUCAUCUUCUUAUUCAUCCAAGCAGAUCGAUAACAUAUGGUCACUACUGACUUUUUCUUGUAGUUCUCAACAUCCAUCUUUCAAGCCAUCAACCAAGUUGUUGCAUUGCUCCUCACUGUUAGAAAAGCCUCGUUUCCCUCCUCCUCCUCCAUUGAUUGAAGGAGAGACAACAAAAGCAACUUAUGAAACAAGCCCCUCAUUUCCUUGUUAAACAUAAAUCGACCCAUUAUUGAUGAGGACUGAGAAUCUAAGAGCACACUAGUAAUUAACCUGAGUGGGGAAUAUGGAUGAUGGAUCUCUCUCUCUCUCUCUCUCUCUUGAAAAAAUCAACUUCAUUAUCCUUGGUGAAUUUGUUCUGAAUUAGUCGUGUCCAGCUACAAGCAAUACUGUACGUAGUAUAUUAUUCUCUGCAUUUGUGCAUGCCAACAACAAACAAAUAUUAUUCUCUAUUAUAGCAUAUAGGCCGUCAUUUUCAAUCCUUAUAAGAGAAAACUUGCUUCGCCAUAAGAGUACGUAGCUUGGCAAGCAAGGUAAGGGUACUUCAAAAGAUUCCUUCCAUCAUCUAUAUAAGACACAUGUGACAUUGCAUGUCUCAUCAAUCAUGUUAAGAUAAAGCUAGCUGGCAAGGCAAAUUACCAACCUUUAUGCUCGAGUAUAUUAUUCCAAGCAGAUAUAAAUGUUAAUAUAUGUGAAGAAUAUUAUGAUCAAUAUAGAAUAUGUAUCAUGAUCAGUUAUGGUAUCGACUGUCAGAAAAUAUCAUCCGCAUAUGUGCAUACCAACAUUAUCGAAAGACAGUAGGAGUAUCGUCAUAUCCGAUACAAGUAUCGGAGCAUGGGUAAGAGUAUAUAUACAAGCAUACCCGUCCAAUUAGGAGAAUCAGUGCAACAUAGAUGAAAAGAAAUUAGAUGUGAUUUCACAUAUUUUUAAAGAAUAGGGGAAAUAAACCAAUUAAUCUCUUUUGUCUUCUCCAUACAUUUUUGGUUGUGAAUUUUGGUUUUCGAAGAAUUUGGCAUUUCAAGCAACUUGGAAAACAUUUUGAUGAUCCAUUGAACCUUGUUAAAGUCGAUAUUCAAUCUCUAUGGACUUUGGCCGAAAUGUCUCAUUUCAAUUGGAAAGUGACAUUGAGAUUUGAAAAGACUAGACAUUAAGGUGGCAAGAGAAGUCUAAAAGGAUCAAACAGAAAAAAAUAAUGAAAAAUUGAAAAUAACCUAGAAAGGGGAGAAAAAAUUAGUUGCAAUAGGGAUAAUAAUGUUUGAGUAAUGCUAAACGAACUCUAAAAUUAACUUAGUACACCCUACUAUCAAACUAUUUAUUGAAUUACUAAUUUACCCUAAUAUAAAAUGACCAAAAAGGAUAUAUUGAAUUGUGCAGCAAAUGUAAUUUUAAUAAGUACACAUUACUCACCAUAUUCAACCCUAAUAUUCGAUGGAGGCGACAUUGAAUGCUAUGAAUCCAACCCAAACCCACCACCACCGUCCCUCUCUCUCUCUCUCUCUCUCUCUCUCUCUCUCUCUCUCUCUCUCUCACAAAUUAUCUUAUUUGCUCUAAAUUUUUUGCAAUGAGUCAGAAUCUUCUAUGUGUAUGUGGCAUUCGUUCAUUAGACUUGGUUAAUGCAUUCAACCCACCCAAAACAAUAAUCAUUUGAUGUUCAUCCUCGAUGUUGGUGGUUUCAAGUGAGCAUGUUCCCAAACGGCUCUUACACUUGCCCACUAGAACUCCAGCUCCUCACCCUCUGAUGAAUCUAAUGACAAUUAUGUUGUUGUUUGCACCAUAAACACCAACUUCCAACAACUCCAAUACAACCUAUUUCUUCUUAAUUAGAUACCUUGGGGGUUGAUAGCAACCUCAAUAGUCUAAGAAACAAACCCACUUCGGAAUUUUCCUUCUUCCACUAGUUGAAGGGAGAUGGGUUCCAACACGAUAUUACGCGCUUAUUAGAAUCUUAUACUCGUCGAGUCUGGGUUGGCUGGUGAUAAGCAGGGGAAGGGUGGAGUUGGGUUGUGUUAGAGAGAGAGAGAGAGAGAGAGAGAGAGAGAGAGAGAGAGAGAAAGAGAAAGAGAGAGAGAAGGGCGGUAGUGGUUGGGUUGGGUUGGAUGCGAAAGGGCUUAAAUCAGAGGAGGAAGGACGGGUUUGGCUGGGUGGGUGACAGGACCCGACCCAAUUUCCGCUUUGGAAUCCGAGCUGAAUCCUGUGCGUGUCCGACACCUGGCGAAUGUCGGGCACGAAUGACCUUUUUACCCUUCUCUUUUCAAAUUCUUUUUUUUUUUAAACUUCCCUUAGACUUCUACCGAAAAUUCGACAGAGUCUCCCCUGUAUUUUGACCAAACCCAAAGUCUUCCACCUGUCAAACAGUCUCAAAUAACACACCAACUACCAGACUAACUCAACCAACAGAUCUCAACUCCAGUUUCUCAUGUUCAACAAGAUAUCAAAGCAUUUCUAUACAAAUUUACAGAACUAUGAGAAAGUUACAACGAGAUCCUACACUUUGGGGGUGGGGCGAAAGCUGGGAAGAUGGCCCGAGUGGUUUCCUUCGUACUUCUAUGGCCUGGGGGCGAAAAACAAGGUUAAAAUUGUGAGUGGACAAAAAUAAAAUUCUUUAAAACAAAAACAAGUUAGAACAUAAUAACCCCCGUUUUGAAAUACUAGGGAUAUAAAUCGUUAAUUUAGCUAUAUUUCAAUAUAAGGAAUUCAAUAAACAUGAAUAAAUAUACUGACGAAUAAACUUGCAUAACUGAUCAAAUAUAUAUAAAGAUAAUAACGCAUGAAUAUCAAGAAACUGGUAUAAAAUCACGGGAAAUCAUAACUGGAUAAAAGAGCUCAAAAUCCUUUGAAACUACCACCUAGAUGUACCCCUGUCAUAUCCGUCAAUUCCCCUGGCAGGUCUCGGGCGUCACGCAGUCUACCCGAGCCGCAAACUGGCGAAAUCAAGGGACUAUGAUCAGCCUGAUCCGCCGGCAGGUCUCGAUGACACCAAGUCGACUCGAGCCGCUCUGGCAGGAUGCAGGGGACCGCAGUCAGCCUGAUCCGCAAUCCUGGCAGGUCUCGGGGACACAGAGUCAGCCGAGCCGCAAAUCCUGGCAGGUCUCGGGACACCAAGUCUGCCGAGCCGCAAAUUCUGGCACUCACGGUCCGAGCGUCCCCGAAACUCGUGAGGCAAAGUCAAGUGCACUGACGUAACUGAAAUCAGACUGGAUGUUCGUAGACAUCGGUCCGACUGUGGGUAAUCACCAUAAAUAGAUGGGUACAUGGUGGUUUAACAAGAAAUUCUGAUAACUCUCUGAAAUCUGAUAAGUCUGAACUAAAUUACUAUCUUUGUAUCAAAAGUCUCAAGUUUACUGCUCAACCAAUAUUAUAAAAAUAAAGAUAUUUCACAAUGCAAAUCAUGCUUCGAAAUUACGUAAUAACACUUAUUCAAGAUCAAAUAGAAAAUAUAAUUAUAAAAUCUUUUAGGAAAGAAAAGUCCACUCACUGUUGGUCCGAGCUAUCUGGACCCUUCGAAGAUCCCUCAUGUGGGUCAACUGGACCUCUGGUGCCUUACUCGAUUGAUUUGGUGGAGAAUUGAAGGAGAACGAAGGAGAUGAAGUUUGGAUGAAAAACAGGCGGAAAUCGCCAGUUUCCGGCCAAUUCCCGGCGGUCCAAGGCCGGCGACGGGUCGAGGAAGGGAGGCGGCGGCGAGGCGGACCGAUUGACACCAACGGCGGAGGUCGCCGUGCCCUGUAGCGACGGCACGCUCGAUCUGAAACAGGGAGGGGGGCGGCGGUUGCGACGGGAGAGAGAGAGAGAGAGGAGAGAGAAAUGAGGAGAGAGAAGAGAGAAGGAAGAGAUAAAAUCUGACUUUUUUUUCAAAUUACCGUUUUGCCCUUCGAGGUAAUUUAAUCGUAUCUUCUUCAUUACAAUUCCAAUUCGGGUCUACUCCGUGUCUACGGACUCGUUUCGCCGUGCUCUACGCAACGGCGCAAGCGAAAUUCUCAAAUUCUUUCUUGAUCAAAAAGUCAAAUUUUCCCCUAUUAAAAUAUGCGAGGGCAAAAUCGUCUUUUGGGUAGAAUAAAGAAAUCCUAAUUUUUAGAUAUUUUAGUUUGGGUUAUUACAGUGGGGGGUGGAGAGAUGAUGGGAGGUCGAUUUAACAGGGUUAAGUGUUGUUAAGUGGUUUACCACAUGUCAAAAAAAUAGAAGGAAAACAUGUCGGGCACAUGGCAUUUGGUAACAGUAAAAUUGGACUCAUGAAUGAGUUAGGUGUUGUGUGAUAGAGUGUAUUAGGGUGUACCAUGGGUAUUUUUAGUAGUUAAAUAGGAUGUACUGAGUUAAUUUUAUAAUUUGAUUUAAAUAUUAGGGUAUACUUAGAUCAUAGGGUGUACUCAGUUAAUUUUAAGGUUUGUUUAGCAACAUUCUAAUGUUUUGUUAUCCCCGGUCAAUAAUUUUAUAUCGUGUGGCUUAGAAGGAGGCCUGUUAUCCAACUCAUCUGGUCCACCGUCCAUGAUAUGAACCCGACUUGAGAAUCUUUUGGUGAAGUAGAACAACCCAACUUGAGAGUUGAGGCAGCCAAACUAGAAGGGAAGCAUCCCCACUCCAGUCCCGCUCCCCAUGUGCCCAAUACUUUGCUUGUUUACUUCACCUUUUAAACCUUUUAGGAUUUUCCAUAGGCUAAGAGGAAAACAACAACAUUACGGCCCAGUUUACGAAUGGAUUCGAGGGGAAAUUACUUCCCAUGCCAUUUUUUAAGGGAUGGAAAAUGGAGAUUCAUUUCCCAUAUUUGAUAAUCCUAGGAAAGUAACUAAGAAAUACUACUUUAUUUCCUUUCACAUAUUUGGUUUGUGUAGGAAUGUAAAACAAAGUUAGUUUAAUUUUUCAAUUAUAUCCAUAUGAAAUUAAAUUUUAAAAAAAAUGUAUUUAAUGCUAUAUUGUUAAUGGGGACAAUAUGGUCAUGAAAAAUGUGUAUUUAAUGUUGGCUAAUUUUCUCAAACUUUCUCAUGUGCAAGACAACGAUUUCUCAUGCCUAGACUUACCAAAUAUGGGAAAGCAAUUGAUUUCUCAUCACCAAGCCUCCUUUCCCAUGAACCAAACAGGACCUACAAGUUAUUAGCUUCAAGCCUUCAAGGAUUUUCAUAACAAAUCUUCCAAUCUCACACAAAAAUAAAAAAGCAUCCAUGUAUGUAAUUUCUAGAUUAAAAUCUCACUUUUUAGGCAUUCCAUUUUCUUAGGAUUAGGUAUUACUACGCACGGACAAUCUUACGAUUAUCUGCAAUUCAUCCUUCAAUAGCUAUGGACGUUAUAUCAAAUCAACAAUAAGACGUACAUUUCUUCAAAGAACUAAAUCAUGCGGAUGUCAACUUGCUCUCACUUAUAUGUUUGUCUCUCCAUAUGAGGAAGGGUGUUUAGCUUAAGGUUUUAGGGCGCGGUUGUCUAAGAACAAUAAGGUGAACAUGUUUUGUCAAAGUACAUGGGAGACCUUUAUCUUCAAACACAAAAAAUGGCCAAAAUUAAAUUAGCAAGGAUCGACAUAUGGAUGUGAGCUUUUACACAUUGCCACUAAUUCUCUCCAUACUUUUGUUGAAAUCAUUUACAAAAUAAGAAAACUUUAGUAAUUGAAGCGAAAGAGAAGAAUUACCAGAACAGAAAAUAAGAAAAAAGAAGCACCUAACCCAAACUUUAAGUCACGAAUUUAACAGUUUACUUUUUAAAAAAAGUAAGUUACAAAACAAUCCCCUUAUUGAUGAGGAUUGAGAAUUUAAGAGCACUAAUAACUUGAGUGAGGAAUAUUGCACAUGGACGAUGGAUCUCUCUCUCUCUCUUUGAAAAAAAAGAAAAAAGAAACAAAAAUCAACUUCAUUAUCCUUAGUGAAUUUGUUCUGGAUUAGUUGUGUUGCAAUGGAACAUCGAACCUACCUAGCUAAAAGGAAAAAAGAAAGGCCACUACGACAGUACUGCAGUAUAUUAUUCCAAGAAGACAAAUGUAAACUAUAUACGUGAAGAAUAUCUAUUAUUGGUCGUCAUUUUCAAUCCUCAUAAAAGAAAACUUACUUCGCCAUAAUUUCAGGUUGUUCUCAAGGCAGGAAGGUAAGGACACUUGAAAAGAUUCCUUCUCAUCAUCUAUACAAGGAAAUGUGUUCUCAUCAAGCUAGGGGACAAGGCAAAUUAGCAACCUUUAUACUCGAUAUAUUAUUCCAAGCAGAUAUACAUGUGAAGAAUAUUAUGAUCUUGAUCAAUAUGGAAUCAGUGGGUGUAUCGAUCGACCAUCCAAAGAAAAAGGAUAUCCUCUGCAUAUAUGUGUGCAUGCCAACAACUAUAAAAGGAGACCAUGAGGCAAUGAGUUGAUCAUCAAAGCAAACACACAGAUAUCCCAACUAAAAAUCAUUCAGUGAGACAAUGGCUGGAACCAAUGAUAUUAAAAUUAAAGGGUUCGAUUUGAGCAAAAACAGCGGCAACACGUCCGGAUUAACCCACUUCGCCAACAGAGCUGACGAGGGCGACAAGGGCGACAAUAAAAUCGAGGUUGAGGAUGCUAAAGCGCAAGAUAACAAGGGAAACUUGAAAGUACUGACCGACUUCGCCCAACGUGGUAAGGUGGGCCAGUCGGAUCGCCAAGAAAUCACGGGGAGCAAGCCACUUCAGACGGCAGCAUGAAAUUGAUGAAGGCCAUACCAUAAUAAAAUAUCUACACUAAAAUAAGAGCUGAUGCAGUAUCUGAGGCUCCUUCCUUGGUUAGGCCUCAUUAUCAUGUGCAAUACUAAUAUUAUUAUUCUAAUAAAAUAAUGGUAGCUUAUUAUUAAAUAUAUCAAAAUUCUAUACGUAUAACUUUUAGAUUAUUGAUACUGAUGACAUACCAACAAGAGAAAACGAUUCAAAAGUCCUUUCUCCAAUUCGUGAUGUUACAAAAUGAGACGUCAAAUUUAAAAAUAUAGUUGCAUACGAGUAUAAACUGAACCAAUAAGCAAUGUAUGAGUGACCAAAGGUCUCAAACGAUGCAUUUAAGAAGAAGGGUACUAAAUUAAAAGAUGUACGCCAGUGAACUAUGGCAAUCUCUCGUUGCAUGCACGCAUAUGCAAUUGAAGAAGACCUAACUUAUAUCACGAAGAAGUGGAUGGGUCUUUACAUAUGAAGUUUUUAAAAUUAACACUACCGGAAGACAAUAGGAGUAUCGGCGUAUCUGAUACAAGUAUCGGAGUCUCGGAGUAUUAGAUUUGAGCAUACCUGUCCAAAUAGGAGUAUCGGUGCAACAUAGAUGAAAAGGAAUUGGAUGUGAUUUCACAUAUUUUUAAAGAACAGGGGAAAUAAACCAAUUAAUCUCUUUCGUCUUGUCCACACAUUUCUUGUUGCAAAUUUUGGUUUUCAAAAAAUUUGGCAUUUCAAGCAACUUGGAAAACAUUUUGAUGAUCCAUUAUUGAACCUCUAAAGUCGAUAUUCAAUCCCUAUCGACCUUGCUCAAAAAAUGUCUCAUUUCAAUUAGUGCAGAGAAAAAUAAAGGCAGAGUUGAAAAUAGAUUUUUCAGUUUGGAAAGUGACAUUGAGAUGUAAAAAGACUAGACAUUAAGGUGGCAAGAGAGAUCUAACAGGAUCAGACAAAAAAGGAAAAAAAAAUGAAUGAAAAAUAGAAAAUGCCCUAGAAAGGGGAGAACAACUUAGUUGCAAUGGGGAUAACAAUAUCUUGCUAUUACUGGUCAAUAAUUUUAUACCACGUGGCCUAGAAGGAGGCCUGUUAGUCCAACUCAUCUGGUCCACUUCCCAUUAUAUGAACCCGACUUGAGAGUUUUGGUUUUUUGGUUGAAGUAGAACAACCCGACUUGAGAAUUGAGGCAGCCAAACUAGAAGGGAAGCAGCCCACUCCACUCCCGCUCCCCAUGUGCCCAGUACUUCGCUUGUUUACUUCACCUUUUAAACCUUUUAGGAUUUUUUUUAUAGGAUAAGAGGAAAACGACGACAUUACAAGUUAUUACGCAUCAACGUAUGUAAUUUCUAGAUUAAAAUCUCACUUUUUACGCAUGUCAUUAUCUUAGGAUUAUGUAUUACUACGCACUGACAAUCUUACGAUUAUCUGCAAUUCAUCCUUCAAUGACCAAAGACGUUAUAUCAAAUCAACAAUAAGACAUACAUUUCUCCAAAUAACUAAAUUAUGUGGAUUUCAACUUGCUCUCAUUUAUAUGUUUGUCUCUCUCCUCCUAUUGAUUAGCCUCUCCAUAAGAGCAAAUAUGAAAAAAGAAGCUCCCAAUCCGAACUUUAAGUCACAAGUUUAACAGUUUACUUUUAAACAAAAGCAAGUUACGAAACAAUCCCCUGAUUUCCUUGUUAAACAUCAACCGACCCAUUAUUGAUGAGGAUUGAGAAUCUAAGAGCAUAUGGACGAUGGAUCUCUCUCUCUUUUUGAAAACAAAAACAAAAACAAAAAACAAAAAUCAACUUCAUUAUCCUUGGUGAAUUUGUUCUGGAUUAGUUGUUUUGAAUUAGUACAGCUUACGUACGCAAUGGAACAUCGAACUUAGCUAGCUAAAAGGAAAAAAGAAAGGCCACUACUACAGUACCGCAGUAUAUUAUUCCAAGAAGACAAAUGUAAACUAUAUACGUGAAGAAUCUCUAGUAUUGGUCGUCAUUUUCAAUCCUUAUAAAAGAAAGCUUGCUUCGCCAUAAUUUCAGGUUGUUCUCAAGGCAGGCAGAGAGAGUACGUAGCUUGGCAAGAAAGGUAAGGGCACUUCAAAAGAUUGUUUCUCAUCAUCUAUAUGAGGAAAUGUGUUGCCAUCAAGCUAGCGGACAAGGCAAAUUAGCAACCUUUAUACUCGAUAUAUUAUUCCAAGCAGAUAUACAUGUAAAUAUAUGUGAAGAAUAUUAUGAUCAUGAUCAAUAUAGAAUCUGUAUCAUGAUCAGAGGGUAUCGAUCCAGCAUCCAAAGAAAAAGGAUAUACUCUGCAUAUGUGCAUGCCAACAACUAUAAAAGGAGACCAUGAGGCAAUGAGUCGAUCAUCAACGGAAACACACAGAUAUCCCAACUAAAAAUCCAUCGUGAGACAAUGGCUGGAACCAAUGAUAUUAAAAUUAAGGGGUUUGAUUUGAGCAACAACAAAGGCAACACGUCGGGAUUAACCCACUUCGCCAACAGAGCUGACGGGGGCGACAAUGGCAACAAUAAAAUCGAGGUUGAGGAUGCUAAAGGGCAAGGGAACACGGGAAACUUGAAAGUACUGACCGACUUCGCCCAACGCGGUAAAGUGGGCCAGUCGGAUCGCCAAGAACUACUCAAACCUCAGGCAUGAAAUUGAAGAAGGCCAGACCACAACAACUUGUCUGCUUGAUAGAUAUAUGUGCUAAAUUAUCUACACAAAAAUAAGAGCUGAUGUUUUAUCUGAGGCUCCUUCCUUGGUUAGGCCUCGUUAUCAUGUGUAAUAUUAAUAUUAUUAUUCUAAUAAAAUAAUGGUAGCUUAUUAUUAAAUAUAUCAAAAUUCUAUACGUAUAACUUUUAGAUUAUUGAUACUGAUGUCAACAAGAGAAAAUGAUUAAAAAGUCCUUUCUCCAAUUCGUGAUGUUACAAAAUGAGACUUCAAAUUUUAAAACUAUAGUUGCAUACGAGUACAAAACUGAACCAAACAAUGUAUGGGCCAGAGUGACCAAGGAUGUACGCCAGUGAACUAAUGGCAAUCUCUCGUUGCAUGCACGCAUAUGCAAUUGAAGGAGGCAUUAUCUGAGGCUCCUUCCUUGGCUAGGCCUCAUUUUCAAUUUUGAUUUCAACUUUGAUUUUGCUUAAACUUUGAUUUUGAGCUAGACUGUGAUUUCGACUUUGAUCUCCCAAUUCGUGCCUUAAGAAUCAGUUUCUCCCAACUCUAUUUACCAAAACCGAAAACUCUGAACUUUUCAAUUCGUCUGGCUACUCUCAGGGUUUCAUGCCUUAGUUUCCUCUCGCCAAAAAGCCAAAAAGACUUGGCUUUCAUGUAAUGCUAUACUCCUCGAUUGAACAAGCCGCGUCUUCAAAUUCAGCUUUCUCACUUCCUUUCUCUUUACUUUCUUUCUUUUGUUUUCCGGCUGGGAAAAUCAUGGAAGCAUUACAAAUUUAAGAGAAUAUUCUAGUAUUAGGGUCCAAACUGUACUAUUUAGGUAUUUUCAUUCUGAUUAAGAGUUCUUUUCUAGAAAUUUGGGGAAGAAAAAAUAGAGUUUCUGUUUUAGUGUUUGAUUUUCAUUACAGUGAAUUAUGUGAAACCGAAAUGUUUCUUGUCUGAUUUCAUCACUGCUUUCAAAUUGCAAAUUAAGGAUUUGAAGGUUAACAAUGCCCGUCUUUAACAAUGUCGCAUUUCAAUUAGUACAAAAGAAAAAUAAAGGCAUAGUUGAAAAUAGAUUUUUCAGUUUCGAAAGUGACAUUGAGAUUUAAAAAGACUAGACAUUAAGAUGGCAAGAGAGAUCUAAAAGGAUCAAACAAAAAAAGUGAAUGAAAAAUUGAAAAUGCCCUAGAAAGGGAGGAAAUCUUAGUUGCAAUGGGGAUAACAAUGUUUUGCUAUCCUCGAACAAUAAUUUUACACCACGUGACCUAGAAGGAGGCAUGUUAAUCUAACUCAUCUGGUCCACCGUCCAUGAUAUGAACCCGACUUGUGAGUUUUUUUUUUUUUUUGUUGAAGUAGAACAACCAAACUUGAGAGUUGAUGUCACAUCUCAGGAUCGGCUUCACCGUAGCACGAUAUUGUCUGCUUUGGGCCCCCUCGCUGUCCUCGCGGUUUUGUUUCUAGGAGCUCACGAGCAACUUCUCAGUUGGUCACUCAUCUUAGGAUUGCUCUGGCCCAAACUCACUUAACUUCGGAGUUCUCAUGACUCCGAAGCUAGUGAGCUCCUAAAAGGCCUCGUACUAAAUGGAAGUGGGCAUAUAUAUAUAAGGCACAACACCCCAUCUUCGUUGGUUGAUGUGGAAUGUUACAAUCCACCCCCCUUAGAGGUCUGACUUCCUCGUCGGCACACUCUCACCACACGGCAGAGUGGCUCUGAUACCAAACUGUCACAUCCCGGGAACGGCUCCGUCGUAGCACGAUAUUGUCCGCAUUGGGCCAACCUUUCUGCCCUCACGGUUUUGUUACUGGGAGCUCACGAGCAACUUCCCAGUGAAUCACUCAUCCUGGGAUUGCUCUAGCCCAAACUCGCUUCACUUCGGAGUUCCUAUGACUCCGAAGCCAAUUAGCUCCCAAAAGACCUCGUGCUAGAUAAAGGUGGGCACGUACAUAUAAGGCACAUCACCUUCUCUUCGUUGAUCGAUGUGGGAUGUUACAGUUGAGGGCUCCGUUGGUCGAUGUAGGAUGUUACAGUUGAGGCAGCCAAACUAGAAGGGAAGCAACCCAACUCCACUCCCUCUCCCCAUGUGCCCAGUUCUCUGCUCGUUUACUUCACCUUUUAAACAUUUUAGGAUUUUCCAUAAGCAAAGAGGAGAACGACCACAUUACGGUCUCGUUUGGUUCACGAACAGAUUUAAGGGGAAAUAACUUCUCAUGUCAUUUCUCAAGGGAUGAGAAAUGGAGAUUCAUUUCCCAUAUUUGGUAAUCCUAGGAAAAUAACAAAGAAAUACCACUUUAUUUCCUUUCACAUGUUUGGUUUGUCUAGGAAUGUAAAACAAAGUUUGUUUAAUUUUCCAAUUAUACCGAUAUGAAAUCAAAUAAAAAAAGAAUAUUUAAUGUUAUAUUGUAAUUCUAAACUGUUAAUAGGGACAAUAUGAUCAUGAAAAAUGUGUAUUUAAUGUUGGCUCAUUUGCUUAUUUUCCCAAACUUUCACAUGAGGAGGAAAACAAAACCCAAGGGGGGAGGAUGGCUUCACUUUCCCCUCUACUUUCCCAUGUACAAGGCAACGAUUUCUCAAGUCUGGACUUACCAUACAUGGGAAAGAAAUUAAUUUCUCAUCCCCAAGUCAUUUUUCCCAUAAACCAAACGGAGCCUACAGGUUAUAAGCUUCAACCUUUAAGGAUUUUCAUAACAAAUCUUGCAAUCUCAUACCAAGGAAAUAAAAAUAAAAAAAAGGAUCCAUGCGUGUAAUUUCUAGAUUAAAAUCUCACUUUUUACGCAUGCCAUUAUCUAAGGAUUAGGUAUGACUACACACGAACAAUCUUACAAUUAUCUGCAAUUCGUCCUUCAAUGGCCAAAGACGUUAUAUCAAAUGAACAAUAAGACGUACAUUUCUUCAAAGAACUAAAUUAUGUGGAUUUCAACUUGCUCUCACUUAUAUGUUUCUCUCUCUCCUCCUAUUGUUUAGCUUAAGGUUUUAGGGCGUGGUUGUCUAAGAACAAUAAGGUAAACAUGCUUACAAAAAAAGAUGGACAGCAAGGAUGGACAUAUGCGAAUGUGAGCUUUUACACAUUGCCACUAAUUUUCUCCAUGAUUUUGUUGAAAUCAUUAACAAAAUAAGAAACUUUAGUAAUUGAAGCGAAAGAGACUAAUUAUCAGAAGAGAAAAUAUGAAAAAAGAAGCUCCCAAUCCAAACUUUAAGUCACAAGUUUAACAGUUUACUUUAAAACAAAAGCAAGUUACGAAACAAUCCCCUGAUUUCCUUGUUAAACAUCAACCGACCCAUUAUUGAUGAGGAUUGAGAAUCUAAGAGCAUAUGGACGAUGGAUCUCUCUCUCUUUUUGAAAACAAAAACAAAAACAAAAAUCAACUUCAUUAUCCUUAGUGAAUUUGUUCGGGAUUAGUUGUGUUGAAUUAGUACAGCUUACUUACGCAAUCGAAUAUCAAACCUAGCUAGCUAAAAAGAGAAAAAGAAAGGCCACAACGACAGUACUGUAGUAUACGUGAAGAAUCUUAUGAUCUAUAAUAUUCUGUAUUAUUGGCCAUCAUUUUCAAUCCUUAUUAAAGAAAACUUGCUUCGCCAUAAUUUCAAGUUGUUCUGAAGGCAGGCAUAGAGAGCACGUAGCUUGGCAAGGGAGGUAAGGGCACUUCGAAAGAUUCCUUCUCAUCAUCUAUACAAGGAAAUGUGUUCUCAUCAAGCUACGGGACAAGGCAAAUUAGCAACCUUUAUACUCAGAUAUAUUAUUCCAAGCAGAUAAACAUGUAAAUAUAUGUGAAGAAUAUUAUGAUAAUGAUCAAUAUAGAAUCUGUAACAUUAUCAGAGGGGUAUCGAUCGACCAUCCAAAGAAAAGGAUAUCCUCUGCAUAUGUGCAUGCCAACAACUAUAAAAGGAGACCAUGAGGCAAUGAAUCAUCAAAGCAAAGACACAGAUAUCCCAACUAAAAAUCAAUCAGUGAGACAAUGGCUGGAACUGGAACCAAUGAUAUUAAAAUUAAAGGGUUCGAUUUGAGCAACAACAGCGGCAACACGUCGGGAUUAACCCACUUCGCCAACAGAGCUGAUGGGGGCGACAAGGGCGACAAUAAAAUCGAGGUUGAGGGUGCUAAAGCGCAAGAUAACAAGGGAAACUUGAAAGUACUUACCGAUUUCGCCCAACGCGGUGAAGUGGGCAGGUCGGAUCGCCAAGAACUUCUCAAGCCUCAGGCAUGAAAUUGAAGAAGGCCAUACCAUAUAUGUGCUGAAUUAUCUACACAAAAAUAAGAGCUGAUGUUUUAUCUGAGGCUCCUUCCUUGGUUAGGCCUCGUUAUCAUGUGUAAUAUUAAUAUUAUUAUUCUAAUAAAAUAAUGGCAGCUUAUUAUUAAAUAUAUCAAAAUUCUAUACGUAUAACUUUUAGAUUCUUGAGUGGGAAACCCUAGCUGCAUUCUGGUCCCUUUUCUUCUUGCCGACAACCAACCACAAGGAAACUAAAGGGGGAGGUGGCCACUGCCCCUCCCCCCCUUCGCCCAUCUUCCCUUUCUCUCCUCAUCUUCCCUUCUUUUUCUCCCAUCUUUUCCCUUCCUCUUAUGCCCUCUUCUCUUCCCAUUCCCUUUCCCAUAUAGUCUAGAUCUAUUUGGAUCUAGGUUUUGUUUGUUUGUUUGUUUGGUUUGGUUUGGUUGUUUUUGCAGUAUUCUAGGUGACUGGUAGUGACGUUGGAUUGUGUCUAUUAUCGGGAGAGUUGUGAUACCUAGUGGCUGAUGUUUUGUCUCUGUUUCAACGACGGCGGCAGUAGCGACACUAGUGAUAGUUAUUGGAUGUGGUGCUCUUCUUUAUUCUGCACUUACCGAAGAACUAUGCUUGGUCAUAGGAGGUUUUCUUUGUCAGAUUCUGAGUUGAAGUGGAGUGCUUCUUAGGGGUCCUUUUAUUGUUGCUUCUAUGUUCCUCCUCUGUGUUCUCUCCUGUUUUCUGUUAUGGUAUGCCUUGUAGUUUGUAUGGGUGUCAAAAUACUAUGAUUUUGCUCAUAGAAGGCUUCUUUUGACAGUUGGGAUAUUCUACGAUCCUCUUCUGUGGGUUUACUAUUUGGGGUUUCUGUCGUUCUCUCAUGUGGGUGUACUAUGUUGGUAUCUAGUUGAGGUUUUCGUCGGAGUUCUUUUUGUUAGUUUUCGUUUUUGAUUUGUUCUUUUAUUGUAAUGGUCCAAAGCGACCAGAAUUAAACUCUCUUGUUAGUCCAUGACAUGUGUGGUACUCUUUUCUCCCCGGGGUUUGUCCCUUGAGAUUGCCCUAGGAAGGUUUUAACGAGGCCACUAUAUCAUGUUGCUCAUUGUACGUCUUUGGUUCUAUUAAUUAAUUCUCUUUCUUAAAAAUAACAAAAAUAAAUAAAUAAAUAAAUAAAAAUUUAGAUUAUUGAUAACGAUGUCAACAAGAGAAAAUGAUUAAAAAGUCCUUUCUCCAAUUCGUGAUGUUACAAAAUGAGACUUCAAAUUGUAAAACUAUAGUUGGAUACGAGUAUAAAACUGAACCAGGCAAUGUAUGGGCCAGAGUGACCAAGGUUGUACGACAGUGAACUAAUGGCAAUUUCUCGUUGCAUGCACGCAUAUGCAAUUGAAGAAUGCCAUAAUAAUAUGUGUUUUUACUAAAUUAUCUACACUAAAAUAAAAACUGAGGCAUUAUCUGAGGCUCUUUCCUUGGCUAGGCCUCAUUUUCAAUUUUGAUUUCAACUUUGAUUUCGCUUAAACUUUGAUUUUGAGCUAGACUGUAAUUUCGACUUUGAUUCUGAUUCUCUCCCAAUUCAUGCCUUAAGAAUCAGUUUCUCCCAACUCUAUUUACCAAAACCAAAAACUCUAAACUUUUCAAUUCGUCUGGGUACUCUCAGAGUUUCAUGCCCUAGUUUCCUCUCGCCAAAAAGCCAAAAAGACUUGGCUUUCAUGUAAUGCUAUACUCCUCGAUUGAACAAGCUGCGUCUUCAAAUUCAACUUUCUCACUUCCCUUCUCUUUACUUUCUUUUCUUUUGUUUUCCAGCCCGGAAAAUCAUGGAAGCAUUACAAAUUUAAGAGAAUAUUCUAGUAUUAGGGUCCAAACUGUACUAUUUAGGUAUUUUCAUUCUGAUUAAGAGUUCUUUUCUAGAAAUUUGGUGAAGAAAAAAUAGAGUUUCUGUUUUAGUGUUUGAUUUUCAUUAUAGUGAGUUAUGUGAAAUCGAAAUGUUUCUUGUGUGAUUUCAUCACUGCUUUCAAAUUGCAAAUUAAGGAUUUGAAGGUUACAAAUUAUUAUGUAGAUAAUUUUUGGGAAUUUAAGAGGCAGUACAGUGUUUGUAUAAGUCUUGAGAUAGACCAAUUUACCACAUGCUCGAUUUCUAUAUAUAAAUUUUUUUAAAUCAUUCUUUUGUUUUAUUUAUUCUGUUAAUUUGUCAUAAUGUGUAAUAUGAUAGCUUCUAAUUCUUUCUUCCUAUUUCUUCUUUUUUGUUAUUCUCUCCCAAAUGAAAUGAAGACCUAACUUAUAUCAAGAAGAAGAGGAUGGAUCCUUACAUAUGAAGAUUUUAAAAUUAACAUUAUUGGAAGACAGUAGGAGUAUCGGCAAUUUGAUACAAGUAUCGGAGUAUCAAAUACGAGCAUGCCCGUCUUUAACAAUGUCUCAUUUCAAUUAGUACAAAAGAAAAAUAAAGGCAGAGUUCAAAAUAGAUUGUUCAGUUUCGAAAGUGACAUUGAGAUUUAAAAAGACUAGACAUUAAGAUGGCAAGAGAGAUCUAAAAGGAUCAAACAAAAAAAAUGAAUGAAAAAUUGAAAAUGCCCUAGAAAGGGAGGAAAUCUUAGUUGCAAUGGGGAUAACAGUAUUUUGCUAUCCUCGAUCAAUAAUUUUAUACCACGUGACCUAAGGAGGCAUGUCAAUCUAGCUCAUCUGGUCCACCGUCCAUGAUAUGAACUCGACUUGAGAGUUUUUUUUUUUUUUUUUUUUUUUUUUUGGGGUUGAAGUAGAACAACUAGACUUGAGAGUUGAUGUCACAUCUCAAGGUCGGUUCCACCGUAGCACGAUAUUGUCUGCUUUGGGCCCCCUCUUUGUCCUCGCGGUUUUGUUUUUAGGAGCUCACGAGCAACUUCCCAGUUGGUCACCCAUCUUGGGAUUGCUCUAGCCCAAACUCACUUAACUUCGGAGUUCUCAUGACUUCGAAAUCAGUGAGCUCCCAAAAGGCCUCGUGCUAAAAGGAGGUGGGCAUAUACAUAUAAGGCGCAACACCCCCUCUCCGUUAGUCGAUGUGGAAUGUUACAAUCCACCCCCUUUAGAGGUCCGACGUCCUCGUCGGCACAGUCUCACCACACGGCAGAGUGGCUCUAUGCCAAAUUGUCGCAUUCCGGGAUCGGCUCCGUCGUAACACGAUAUUGUCCGCGUUGGGUCAACCUCUCUGCCCUCACGAUUUUGUUUCUGGGAGCUUACGAGCAACUUCCCAGUAGAUCACUCAUCCAAACUCGCUUAACUUCGGAGUUCCCAUGACUCCGAAGCCAGUGAGCUCCCAAAAGACCUCGUGCUAAAUGGAGGUAGGCAUGUACAUAUAAGGCACAUCACCUCCGCUCCGUUGGUCGAUGUGGGAUGUUACAGUUGAGGGCUCCGUUGGUCGAUGUACGAUGUUACAGUUGAGGGCUCCGUUGGUCGAUGUAGGAUGUUAUAGUUGAGGCAGCCAAAAUAGAAGGGAAGCAACCCUACUCCACUCCCUCUCCCCAUGUGCCCAGUUCUCUACUCGUUUACUUCACCUUUUAAACCCCUUCGUACUUGAAGACCUGGCUGGCAAUUUGAUUGAAGCGAAAGAGACUAAUUAUCCAUGCUUUUGUUGAAAUCAUUAACAAAAUAAGAAACUUUAGUAAUUGAAGCGAAAGAGACUAAUUAUCAAAACAGAAAAUAUGAAAAAAGAAGCUCCCAAUCCGAACUUUAAGUCACAAGUUUAACAGUUUACUUUAAAACAAAAGCAAGUUACGAAACAAUCCCCUUAUUUACUUGUUAAACAUCAACCGACCCAUUAUUGAUGAGGAUUGAGAAUCUAAGAGCACAUGGACGAUGGAUCUCUCUCCCUUUUUGAAAACAAAAACAAAAACCAACUUCAUUAUCCUUAGUGAAUUUGUUCUGGAUUAGUUGUGUUGCAAUGGAACAUCGAACCUACCUAGCUAAAAGGAAAAAAGAAAGGCCACUACGACAGUACUGCAGUAUAUUAUUCCAAGAAGACAAAUGUAGACUAUAUACGUGAAGAAUAUCUAGUAUUGGUCGUCAUUUUCAAUCCUCAUAAAAGAAAACUUACUUCGCCAUAAUUUCAGGUUGUUCUCAAGGCAGGAAGGUAAGGACACUUGAAAAGAUUCCUUCUCAUCAUCUAUAUAAGGAAAUGUGUUCUCAUCAAGCUAGGGGACAAGGCAAAUUAGCAACCUUUAUACUCGAUAUAUUAUUCCAAGCAGAUAUACAUGUGAAGAAUAUUAUGAUCUUGAUCAAUAUGGAAUCUGUAUCAUGAUCAGUGGAUGUAUCGAUCGACCAUCCAAAGAAAAAGGAUAUCCUCUGCAUAUAUGUGUGCAUGCCAACAACUAUAAAAGGAGACCAUGAGGCAAUGAGUUGAUCAUCAAAGCAAACACACAGAAAUCCCAACUAAAAAUCAAUCAGUGAGACAAUGGCUGGAACUGGAACCAAUGAUAUUAAAAUUAAAGGGUUCGAUGUGAGCAACAACAGCGGCAACACGUCGGGAUUAACCCACUUCGCCAACAGAGCUGCCGAGGGCGACAAGGGCGACAAUAAAAUCGAGGUUGAGGAUGCUAAAGGGCAAGGGAACACGGGAAACUUGAAAGUACUGACCGACUUCGCCCAACGCGGUAAAGUGGGCCAGUCGGAUCGCCAAGAACUUGUCAAACCUCAGGCAUGAAAUUGAAGAAGGCCAUACCAUAACCACUUGUCUGCUUGAUAGAUAUAUGUGCUAAAUUAUCUACACAAAAAUAAGAGCUGAUGUUUUAUCUGAGGCUCCUUCCUUGGUUAGGCCUCGUUAUCAUGUGUAAUAUUAAUAUUAUUAUUCUAAUAAAAUAAUGGUAGCUUAUUAUUAAAUAUACCCAAAUACUAUACGUAUAACUUUUAGAUUAUUGAUACUGGUGUCAACAAGAGAAAAUGAUUAAAAAGUCCUUUCUCGCAUUCGUGAUGUUAGAAAAGAUACUUCAAUUUCAAAACUAUAAAUUGCACACGAGUACAAAACUGAACCAAAUAUGAAGUAAUGUAUCGGAAACUUGACUAAAUAGAAUACAACAUAUAUAUCGAAAUAUUUUUAUUAUAAAUGGUCUCUAAGGUUCGUGAAAUUAUUAGCUUUAGUCCUUCAUGUUUUUUUGUGACAUCAUUGGUCCUUUAUGUUACUCCUCCUCGCACAUCAAUUUGGUUUUGCCGUUUGAAUUCGUCAAAAUUUAUGUUAAAUUGAUGGCAUGGCAUGUAUAUGGUGCCCACAUAUCCAAUGAGAUAAUGACCCGUAGAUCUAAGUAAAAAAUUUGUUUUAAAAAAAUAGUUUCAUAUUUAAAAUUGUUAAAGGGCGAAGACUCAUUGGGUAACUCGAAGUUUGGGUUGUUGAAGCCUUCAAGCAUGGUUUUGCUCACAAAAGAUUGGAACGCAUUGUGUUGGGUUGAGCACUGAAAACCAAAGAAUAUCAAAAAUGUAGAGAGAGAGAGAGAGAGAGNNNNNNNNNNNNNNNNNNNNNNNNNNNNNNNNNNNNNNNNNNNNNNNNNNNNNNNNNNNNNNNNNNNNNNNNNNNNNNNNNNNNNNNNNNNNNNNNNNNNGGGUGGAGUGGGGGUGGGGUUGGGGUGUGGGUUGCUGCUGGGGGAGACGGAAGGGGAAGGGAGGGGAACGAAGGAGAAGGGGAGGGGUGGCUGUAGGUUUUAUUUAUUUAUUUUAUAUUUAUAAAUUUAAAAUUUGAUGUUUUAUUCUUAAUCUUUUAAAUGGAUUUUAUGUUUAAAAUUAUUGUAUUAUAUUUGAAGACACGUGACUCUAAAUGAUUGGAUGUGUGGACUUCACAUAUAUCUCAUGUCAGCAACUUAAUAGAAAAUUUGACGGACCCUAACGGCAGGGAUCAAAUUGAUGUGUGGUGUGUAACAAAAAGGAUCAAUAAUGUCACAAAAAACAUAAAGGACCAAAGUUGAUAAUUUUGCGAACCUUAUACACCAUUUGUGAUAAAAACCUUAUAUUGUAUAAUUUUAGUGUGUUUUUUUCUUAAAUGCUAUUGAGAAGAGGUUUUAUAAAACUGCUAUAUAAAAGGUUCACCACAAUGCUAUAAAACAAUAGUAGAUUAUGGCUCUCAGAUGUUUUCAUCUUCUUAUUCAUCCAAGCAGAUCGAUAACAUAUGGUCACUACUGACUUUUUCUUGUAGUUCUCAACAUCCAUCUUUCAAGCCAUCAACCAAGUUGUUGCAUUGCUCCUCACUGUUAGAAAAGCCUCGUUUCCCUCCUCCUCCUCCAUUGAUUGAAGGAGAGACAACAAAAGCAACUUAUGAAACAAGCCCCUCAUUUCCUUGUUAAACAUAAAUCGACCCAUUAUUGAUGAGGACUGGGAAUCUAAGAGCACACUAGUAAUUAACCUGAGUGGGGAAUAUGGAUGAUGGAUCUCUCUCUCUCUCUCUCUCUCUUGAAAAAAUCAACUUCAUUAUCCUUGGUGAAUUUGUUCUGAAUUAGUCGUGUCCAGCUAAAAGCAAUACUGUACGUAGUAUAUUAUUCUCUGCAUUUGUGCAUGCCAACAACAAACAAAUAUUAUUCUCUAUUAUAGCAUAUAGGCCGUCAUUUUCAAUCCUUAUAAGAGAAAACUUGCUUCGCCAUAAGAGUACGUAGCUUGGCAAGCAAGGUAAGGGUACUUCAGAAGAUUCCUUCUCAUCAUCUAUAUAAGACACAUGUGACAUUGCAUGUCUCAUCAAUCAUGUUAAGAUAAAGCUAGCUGGCAAGGCAAAUUACCAACCUUUAUGCUCGAGUAUAUUAUUCCAAGCAGAUAUAAAUGUUAAUAUAUGUGAAGAAUAUUAUGAUCAAUAUAGAAUAUGUAUCAUGAUCAGAGGGUAUCGACCGUUAAAAAAAAGAAAAAAAAGAAAGAAAAAAAAAGGGGUCUUUAGAUCGAAGCCCAAAAAUGUGCCUUUCAUUAGGUUUAACCCAUGUCUUUUCAGUUUUUGAUCUAGAUCCACUAAUUAUUAUAUCUCAUUUUCAUUACCUAUUUUGAAUUAUGAAUUAGGUUUGAACAAUCAUAAAUAUAGAGUACUGCUGUUUGCACCUUUGUCAUAUUUCUUCAUCUACCGUGUAAAUUUGAAAAACACAAAACCUAUCUUUCCACUCACUAUUAUUCCUAAAUUACCAUUUAAUUAUUAAUUCAAGCAAACUCUCUAUCCUCUUUCUCUUCCUUUCCUUUCCUUCUCUCUUCUCUCUCUCUGUCUCUCUCUGUCUGCACCAGUUUUCUUCUUCCUCUUUAUUUCCUUAUCUCUUCUCUCUAUGUUUCUUCUUCUUUCUCUGCGCCAUGUUUGGCUAUAACCACACUACUGGCAAAAAAUUUGGAUUUAACCCAUAUAUGUCCCUCACUGCUGAACUUUUCUGGUUCUGCCACUGACCCCCGCCAUGAAUUUGAUAUUCCCACCCUAACCCCGCGCCUCCUCCGAUGGGUGUGCUGAGAAAUUACAAGGAGGGUGUUUGGGGUAUGAUGGCAGGGAUGAUGGAGAAGGAAGGAAGGGAUGGUGGGUUUGGAUUUCGAACAAAAAAUAAAAAAUAAAUACGGAUUUAGGUGUGGGUGAGAGAGACGGAGAGAGUUGUAAAUUUGUCCUUAGAAGUCAUUUUGUGAAGGAAUAAAUUUGUCUUUAAAAUUUUAAAAAUAAGAUGAAUGAGGAAAUAGAACAAGUGGGUGCAAUAGUAGCACUCCAAAUAUAUUCGCAAGUAUAAUAUAUGAAAAUAAUAGAAGUCAUAUUACGCAUAUGCAGUAAUAUAAAAUACCUAGAAUAUAUGUUUGGAAGACAAAAUAAUAAACCUAGAACUAGACCAUAGGUUGAAAAACAUAGGAUCUACCUUGAAUAGGAUUAAAAAAUUACACCAACAACAUAUCUAUGUCAUGGGAACACUUGUAAGUUGUGUAUAUUUCAUCACCUCCAAGACCUAUACACUGAGAACAACAAAUAUAAUGCACCACAUAAUAUUGUAGGGUGAGAAAACUCAUAAAUCUGAUCUACCUACAACAUAGGAUUAAAAAAUUACACGAACAACAUACUUACACUGUUGGAACACUCGUGUAUAUUUCAUCACCUUCACAAUAGGUAUCAAAACCCUCCAUGAGAACACUCGUGUACUUGCAACAGACCUACACCUUGGGAACACUCGUGUACAUACACUUACCUAUAUUUACAACAUCUACCUACACCAUGAGAACACUCAUAUGCAUACAACUUACAUAUAUUUAUAACAUAUACCUACACCAUAAGAACACUCGUACAUACGACACACCUAUACUUACAAAUUACAAUGCACUUAUCCUUACAACAUAUAUACCUACAUCAUGGGAAUACUCGUGUAUAUUUGAACACAUGGACAUGGUUCAUGUGAAGCAAAAAGAUAUAGAGGGAAAAAAAAGAGACCGAAUACGCAAAAUGAAAAGUUACCAAAGUGACAAACUAAUAUUAAAUUAUUAAAAAGGUGAAAUCUAAUAAUUAUUUACCUAAAAUAAAUAUUCAAUGAAAUAAUAAUUCAGGAAUUGACAAUAUAAAAGUUAUUGAGGGUAAAAAAGGCAUUAAAAGUUUCAAAAACGGAAACCAUAAAUCUUGGUUGACUCGUCUCAAUAUAGUAAAUUUGCUGUCGUGGAAAAAUACUCAAUGAGCUUACAUCAAAAAAUGAAAUCACAAGGAUUAUUCCUAAUAAACAUACUUUUGGGUUUGUAUCUAAUUUUCCUAAUAAACCUUAAUACUUUGGGUUUGUAUCAAGUGAAACACAAAAGUUUGAAUCUUUCUGGUAAAAAAGAAAGUACUAGUCCUGAUUAUUCAGAAUUAAAUAGAAUCAUAUAUACGGGUCAUUGUAAUCUCAUAUUUCCUGCCAUUCUCCAUGAUAAUUUUGAUUUUUUUUUUAAUUGACAAAGAGGCAAAGAAAUAGAUUCAUCAUUCCAUUGUAACUAUCUCUAGGUAGUUGUUGACUCCGUGUGGAUCCUAGUUUUCUUGAGAUAGUCAUUUUUUGCCUUAAUGAACCCACUCAACACAAUUAGUGAAAUCUGAAAAAUCCAAGAAAUGAAGAAUUUCUUCUUGGAUCAGUCUUUGCAUUCUUUUCUUAGACACAUGCCCUAAUCUUUUGUGCCAUAGUUUUGCAGACUUCUCAUUAUCUAGUGGUCGUUUUUGGCCUAUGGGUUCAAUGUUAAAAGCCACAUUGUUACUUGCAAGGUUUAAGCAAAACAAACCAUCAACCAAAGAGCCAUUGUCCACUGAACUUUUAUUGAAUAUCAAAUCAAAUCCUAUUUCAGAGAAAGCAAAAUUGAAAAGUUCCCUAGUUCAUCUAGAAACUGAAAUCAAACUCCUUCUCAUAGAAGGUACAUAAGCAACAUCUUUCAAAAUUAAAUUAAAGUCUGAAACUAAUUGAAGCCAACUGAGCCUAUUGCUUGAACUGGUAAUCUCUUUCCAUUCUCCACCAAGGUCUUGGUCUCUACUUGUUCUUCUGGCUUACGAAGUCCUGCAUUUAAUUGACUUUAUCAUUUGGAUACCAAGUCUAUGCAGUCCUAUGCGUUGAUGACAUUUGACACAAAGUUUGAUAUAGAUAUCUUUAUCAAGUGAGCUUUCCAAACUAUGAACAUAAGAGCACCUCCACCCCAAAGGGUAAGGGCAAGGCAAGGUUUGUCACUAUUCAAGUGAAUGGUGGCAGCCUUGCCUUUUUUGGUUCCACCCCAAAAGGCAAGGGCAAUUACUAUUCACUUUAAUUUAUUUUCUAUUUUUUUAUACUUAAACCAUUAAUUUUGAUAAGAUUUUCGGUUGCCACAUGUCACUAUUUAUUAUAAAAUUCUCACCUAAAAUUUUAGAUAACAUUUUCAGAUAAAUUUUCGAAUUAAAUUUUCAGAUAAUAUUUUUAGUUGCCACAUGUCCAUAUUUAUUAUAAAAUUCACAUCACACUCAUCAUACAAUUGAAAUACCUACUCACUCAUCAUACAAUUGAAAUACUCAUAGUCCGACAAAAUCGAGUACAAUGACGACUCAAUCAUUGGCGGAGGUGGUUCCACUGGAUCACGAUGUGGGGGAGUAUUUUCCUUCGGAGGACGUAAUAGUGCCAUUAUUUCAUACACGGAACGCAUCACUGGAAUCGGCUACGAGCAUUGUUCACUUGAGGAGCCAUGUGUAAUGGUUUCCUCUUUUUUGUUUUGCCUUGAAUAAUCUAUUUAAAAGUUGAAAUUGGAAAUGCAAGAAAUAUUUUUUUAAAAAAAUACAUUAAAUUGAAUAAAACGGCAAUUAAUUUUUUUCUACCUCGUCGCCAAGAUUUUGACAUAUUCGAACUUUUUUCUACGACCCUUGAAGCCAUUUGUUUUUUAUACAAAAUAGAAAGUAGUUGAACAAUGUGAGUGGAAAGUAAAAAAUAUUUGAAGGAGAAGAGUUUGUAUGAAGAUUUGGUGUGGAACGUGAAUAAAAUUGUUAGGUAUUUAUAGGGAAAAAAAUCCAGAAUUUUUUGGUACUUUAAAAAAAAAUUAGAAGCUAUCAGAUUUUUGGGAAAAAUUCAAUCAGAGCAUCCCAAAAGCGCCACAUGCUUCUUCCCGUUGGUGGUUGUCAUAAAAUAAAAUAAAAAAAUUAACCAUUGGCGCGUGAAAUUCACACGCCAACGGUAAUAAAAAAUUAAAUUAAAUUAAUUUGCACUGCAGACAUCAGCGCCUUUGGGCAACAGCCCAAUCCAGAUUUGCCCAUAAGCUUGCCCGGGCUGAUGGAUCCCACGCCUUGCCCGAACUAGAUUGCGCGCACUUGAGCUGGAUUUCGGGCUUGGGAUAGCCUUUUGCCCGGGCCAAGCUUGAGCGCUGGAGGUGGUGUAAGGAAUCGAUUCUAAGGCAAUAAGAAAGUGUUUUACAUAGAUGUUGCACUCAAGUGGGAGAAUAUAUAUCCUGCAUCUAUGCAUGCCAACGACUAUAAAAGGAGACCAUGAGGCAAUGAGUUCAUCAUCAAAGCAAACACACAAAUCCCAACUUAAAAUCAAUCAGUGAGGCAAUGGGUCAAGAUCAAACCAAGCCAGCAAAUGCUGGAAGCAAUGAUAUUAAAUUUAAAGGGGUGGAUGUGACCGACAACACCGGCGACGUGACGGGAUUUACCCACUUCGCCAACAGAACUGACGGGGCCGACAAGGGCAACAAUAAAAUCGAAGUUGAUGAUUUUAAAGCGAAGGGGAACAAGUCACACUUGAACGUACUUACUGACUUCGGCCAUCGCGGUCAGGCGGGCGAGUCAGGCAAACAAGAAAACAAAGAGAACAAGCAACUUCAGCAGGCAAGCAAUUGAAGAAGGCCAUACCAUAAUAAGUUCUCUGCUUGAUAGAUAUGCACUAAAAUAAGAGCUGAUGCAAUAUCUGAGGCUGCUUCCUUGGUUAGGCCUUGUUUUCAUGUGUAAUAUUAAUAUUAUUAUUCUAAUCUAAAAUAAUGGUUGCUUAUUAUUAAAUAUCAAAAUUCUUUACGUAUAACUUUUAGAUUAUUUAUACUUAUGUACCAACAAGAGAAAAUGAUUAAGUAUAUCAAAAUCCUUUCUCCAAUUCGUGAAGUUAGAAAAUGAUACUUCAAAAUUCACAACUAUAGUUGCACACGAGUAUAAAACUGAACCAAAUAUGAAGCAAUGCUUGGGCCAGUGUGACCAAAGCUCUCAAACGAUGCAUUUGAGAAGAAGGUACUAAAUUAAAGGAUGUACGCAUAUUUCCAGCCUUUGAAGUCGCA